UCAAAGUCUGGGUUUAAAAAAAAAAUUAAAAAUCCUCUAAAUGAGGAGAAAUGGGAGCCCUCCGGUCCCGGACUCCGGCCACUCGUCACCGUCGACUUUACCAUCUACGGCGGCCGAAAGCUGAAAAGCUUCGUUUUUUCGUCUAUACUGAAAGGUAAGACUCCUUCCUUGUUUUUAAAACUGUUUACCAACUAUUUAUAUAUGUAUGUAUAUGCUUCGAAUACUAAAAAAAUGAAAAUAAUAAAAGAUUGAUGAUUCACCUAAAAGAAAUUGUAUGUAUUUGGCUUUUAUAUUCCUUGUUAAAAUCUUUGUGUAUUUACAGGUUACAAAGGAGGCUUUUAUAGCCACUAUUUCUAUUACAUAUUUUGGGAAGAAAUCUUUUAUUUCUUUCCAUAUUUGUUUUGUUUGUUUGCUACUGUUUCUUUCCUUCUUUGCAGGUAAGCGAGAAUCUGGCGAUGAUCAAUGAUGAUCGGGCGCUCAUGAUGAUGAUGUUAGCGCUGAUUUGCGCGUUGACUGCGGCGCGAUUCGGGGCCAGAGUUGUGGGGUGAGGCGAAGAGGCGUGACGCUUGGGAUGGUUGCGGCGCUCAACUUCUGGAACCUUCCGUUUGCGGCGCCUAGGGUUCCAAAAACACUAGGUCUUCCAUCCUUUGUUAACAAAUUGGGCCAUUUGGGCUGUACUUGUUUGUGGGUUGGGUGUAAACGGGUUAGUGGGUAGUUUAGGUUAAUUGGGUUCUAAGUAUUUGGGUCUACGGGUUAGUGGGCUAUGGUACUGUAAUUUAAUUUAUUUAAUUAAAAUAUUUUAAAAUAUUCUUAUAUUUUAAAAUUAUUGUUAAAAAUUGUCAGUAUAUCAAAUAGGCAUUAUAGAUAUUACUAAAUUUUAAUAAUAUAUUAUACAUUAUAUUAUAAUUCAAAUCUAAGCAUAAUAAAACAUUUAAAGUAUGAUUUAAUGUUAAAAAUAGAAAAUAACAUAUAGAAAAUAUUAAUAAACAAAAUAAUAUUAGUUGCAAUUGACUCACAAUAUAUAUUAAUCUGAAUUUUGAAAGAAACGAUGAACUUCUUCUUCUUCUUCUUCUUUUCUAUUUAAAUAGAUAAAUGAUUUAAAAAAGUACACAAAAUAUAAAAGAGUUAAAAUUAAAAACUAAAUUGUAAACAAAACUACAAAUCAUAUAUUCAUGACUUAAAAGAUACCAAUAACUCAAUUCUUUGAAACCAGUUUAGUUUUCAAUUUGUAAUUAUCAUUUCCUUCAUCUCUGCCUUCAAUUGUUUUUUUAAUACUUAAAACAUAACUAAAAAGAAAAAUAAGACUAAAUAAUAGAAAAACAACUUAAAACAUUAAAUUAAAACCUGUACAUAAUCAAACUAUUUAUAGUUGAAUUAGAUACUUUUUUAAAAAAAAAAGUCUAACAUAUAUUUAAUUAUUUAAUUUAGAUAAUAAAGGUAGAAAUGUAUUUUAGUUUUAAAUCUUAAAAUUUAAUAUUGGAUAAAAAUAUUUAUAAUAACCUUUAUAUUCAAUUUUAUUCUUUGAAUAAUAUUAUAUAAGAUAAUAUAAAUAUAUAAUAAUUAUUUUUAAAAAUGAUUUGAAAAUAACCAAAACAUCUACGGAAUAGAUAGAUUAUGUAAUUUUUUAAAAAAAAUCUUUUUAAAAAUGUGAUAGUUGAUUUUUAAAAUUAAAACCAAAAUUUAAAAUAAAUAGUAACAUAGAUAAUAUAUAAAUAAAAAAGUAUUUAAGUUAAAAAAUAGAUAAAUCAUCUAAACAAAAUUUUAUUUAAUUAAUUAAAUGUUUUAUAUAAUUUUUAAAAUUUCUGGUUGUGUAAUUAAAUAUUUGUCUAAUUUAUUUUAAACUAAAAUUAACCAUCUAAAUUAAUUUAUCUAAUUAAACAUUUAUUUUUUUUAAAAAGAGUUAAUAGCUUUUUAAAGAUUUGAAUGAAGAUUAGAAGUCUGGUUGUCGCAAUAUUAUAAUUAUACAUUUUUUUUUUUAAAAUGCUUGUAUAUUUGGUUAUACCAAAAAAGAAAAAAAAUUGUGAUCAAACAGGAAUCUAUCCUUAAUUGAGGUAAUGAGAAGAGGAAAAUAAGUUGGGUUUGAAUAAUAAGUAUGAUUAAUGAAUCAAAUUAAGCAAAGGAAGGAAAUGGAAUUCUAUUGGUACAUAAUAAGUUUUCUACCUUUUGCCUUUUUACCUGGUCUGCUUUGUGCGCAUGACAGGAAGCACUACAGUGAGGACCAAAACCAAAAUAAGGGAUGGGCAAAAACACUAAUGAUGCGAAUGCAAAGCCCUUUGCCUUUUUGGAGCCUAACUUUUGUGUCUGUGGGUGAUAUACUGAAAUCAUUUCACCAACUUUAACCACUUGUUAGAACCUUGUCCCCCUUUCUUCCUAUUCAAGCUUAGGUAAAAAAGGUAAGUUUCUUUGGAUACCUUGGACUUAGCUAUCCUUAUCAUAAUAGAGAGAAGCCUGUACUUUUUUUUUUAAUUUUGAUUUGAAAGAGAUAGACGCAUCAACAAGGUUCAUCUUCUAAAGUAAAUUUUGAGGGUGUUAGGUGGGUAGUAAGUUCAGUCAUUAACCACAAUCUUCCCAUUCUGCUUGCUAAUGAAGCUGAAAGAUAUGACCCCAAACAAAAUUGCUUGUUUUGAGAAAGAAAUAUACACCAACAAAUACAACAGAAAUGCAAAAUGAAAAACAAAACCCAGAAUCUGCUAUCUGUAUUGCCUCACUUCUCUCUCUUUGAUACAACACUCCAUCUCCUAAUAACUUCUAACACUAUCUGAUUCCAUGUAUCUAUAGGACCUGGAAGACACCAAUGUACACAGUCGUUCUGAACAUGUUCUUGAAUGCCAUUAGCGAAUGGAAAUGGAUACAUGUAAGGCCCGGGAUGACCAUCUGGUCUCAUUAAUGAUAAUUUGGUCACAUCCAAUGUCUCUAGUCUCAAUCCUUUGAAUUGCUUAGCAUUUACCUUAGCAGCUUCCAUUUCUUCAAUCGCAAUUGAUCUCAUAUCUGCAUCCAUUCCUUCAACCAUCUUUUCUCCUUCCUCGUAAGGCUUCGUCUUGGGACAAGCACCAGCCUUAUCCCAUUCACCUUCAAAAUGUGAAGGUGAAAAAGAGGUUAAAAACACAUCAAUUCCAUUACCAUCAGUAGACUUCCUUUCAAUUAUUGCCUUAAGUGCGGUCUUUAUGGCCUUCCUCAUCACAUCAUAAAAUCCAAUCUCAGUGUGAUUUAGUCCAGGGCAGUAAUGGCAACCUAAAACCGAACCACCCUCAUAAUACACUGCUGGAUGAAGAAACCAAUGCCCUAUUGAGAGUACAACCAUAUCUAUAUGCUCUAAAUCAGAUCCCCACCUCUCAUCAACAACAUCUACAUACAAUUCAUUAUGAUCUGGGCCAGUUUUUGAUUUCUCAACACCUUUAACCAGAAAUGGUGACCAAUAAACUGAUACAGUACUGUUAUGAGAAGAAAAAUGCCAUCUACGAAACUUGUUAUCCUCCCCAGUUUUGUAAACCAGGUUAGGAUAGGAGGCAGUGGCUAGCAUGCAAAGAAGUGAUUCCAAUUGGUUCCUAGCCAUCGAGUCACCAACAAAAGCUAUAUGCUUGUUACUAAGGAGGUUGAAGAAAGUGUUGGGAUCAAACCUUGGGAGAUUGCAUUGGCUUGGUUGCCAUCUCCAGUAAAGGUAACCCAAGUCAGGUCUCCCGUGAGUGAUGCAAUUUUGACCUUCCUUAAUUGUACCACAGGUUGUGCCAUUGUAUAAAGGCCCCAUCUUGUCAUGUACCCAUCUGCCAUAGGUGUAGUUACAUGGAGUUUCAUUAGCUAUUUCCUCUUCUGCAAAUAAGCAAAAACAAAAACUUGUUUAAUAAUAACACCCAUAUUUAAAACAACUAAAAAUAAAAGAACAUAAGUCAAGAAAAGGUAAAAAAGUCUGACAACUUUUAUGUUUUACUCUAUGUACCUUUAGAGAAGGAUGAAGAAGGAGGUGAAGAAGAAGAAGAAGAAGAAGAAGAAGAAGUGGUGAGGAUGAUGCGGUUGGGGUGAGGAAGCUGAUCUGAGGUGGAUAGAGGGAAAGGAAAAGGGUGAAAGUAGAAGCGAAAAACAGCUAUGGGGAGGAGAGCAUAAAGAACAUAGGGCAACAAAUUCCUGGUGAGUGAACGAGAGUGAGAUUGGCCUUUGAGUGGACUUGUUGCCCCCAUUUUUUACACACACUCUCCACCUCUUCACCUGUGUUUUCUAGGUUUCUCUAAGCUAUGGCCACUGUGGAGGUCAAGCCACAAAAGUGUUCUUGAACUAGCGGCCGGAGAGGAAGGGAGAGAGAGAAAUUAUAAUAAUAAAAGAAGCUUAUGACUUUAUGCAGAGGCUGGGGUGGUGUUCCAAUGACAUCGAAAGAAUCUUAUUAAUCUACGAUUAUUAUAAAUGUGAGUUGGACAACAUAAUACAGCUAGCGAGAGGUUGUUGUUUACCUUUUGUCAUGUCUCUCUGUCUUAUAUCUCUGUAUAAAAAAAAAAAACACUAAACAUGUUCCUCCAUGAACAACCAAGCAUGUUUAUCCUAAUUAAUAGUGUCAAAAAUCCAAAAUCACCCUUCUAUUAAAAGGCAAAAUAAUUUGGUUUAUAAGGGUAAAAACUAGAAACAAAAAUUCUGGAACAUGGCUAUACCUGUGCCUAUAGUAAUAACAGCCAAAUGUCGUCUUUUUUUUUUUUUCCUUGUUUGAGCUAAAUGAUUUGUAUUUACCAUUCAAAUCAAUGAAAUGAUAAAACAAUAUACUUAUAGCAAGCUCACUUAAUUGGAUGGCAUAAUAAAUCUCAAAAUUCACGGGAUUCAGAUUACACUUUUUCCAACCUAAUCCACUGGUGAUGGUAUUUACAUUGCAAGCGGUGAUUAAUUAAGCAUAUGAUAUAGACGGUGACACCACAAGCCAUAAACGUGAUCUUAAGAAAAAGCAUACAGGAAUGCCUUUUUCCUUCCAUCACAUCCCACCUAAAACCCAUCAUACAUACCUGGUCCUGGACCAGAACGAGUUAUUAUUAAAAAAUUAAUUCAAUUAAAAUAUACGCAGAUUAUUUUUGACUUUUUGGAUUUAUUUAAAUUGAGAUAAAACUGGAGUCUAAAUUUUUAUUCUUUUUAAACACAUUAAAAUUUUGAGUAGGUUCGUAAACGAAAAAGAAAAAGUCUGCCAGAGGCUGAAGGGGCGUGUGCUAAUCGCCUCCUGAUAAAGUUAGAUGCAUUGAAUCUUGUAUACCUACUGCCACUACUUUUUCAUGAAUUGGAUUAUAUAUUACUUAUUUUCAAUUCCAUAAAUGAAUUAAUUAAAAUUUAUAAUCCAUUCAACCGAAUCGGUGAAUCAUCAGUCACAACUUGAUUAAAAGUUAUUCUCAAACUUCAAUUAUUGAUUACUUUAAAAUGGUAAUUUUCUUUUCUUUUUUACUUUGACUCACUAUAUUACAUUUUAUUACUUUUUAUAAUAUACACUUUAAACUUUAUUUAAACUAAAAACAAACAAAUAAAUAAAAAUCACUGUUGUAGUUUUUGUAAUGUUAUAAGCUUGUUCGAAUAAAAUAUUUGAUUAAUUCAAAACUUUAAAUAAAUUUUUAUUUGACUGACUAACGAUUAAGUGUUUUAAAAUUUUUGAUUAAUUGAUAAUUUAAUUUAAUUUUUAAUCCAACUCAUCAGUUGAAUACCACUACAAUAAGAGAGAAAACCAAGCGAUCUAGAAGGGAAGCAUUGCUCUUACUUCUCUUGGCUAACCAAUUGCUUUGUUCUCUUCCCUAAAAGCAUGAUUAAACUUGAAAUUUGGACAAGAGGCAAGCAACAUAUGAAUGUCUAGCCUUGACUUUUCAUGGAACAUCAUUAGCACCAUUGAGGGCAUAAUGAGUCUCGGCUUAUCUGAUUUCUCGAUUUUCGAUUUUCACUUUUGACUCUUCAUAAAUUCAUACCCAAACCUCAACACUUCAACCAUUGAUGUCGUCGAGCAAAUGCAUCAAUGCAUUGGUUUCGUUGAUGAUUCCUCUCGAAGAGUCUUAGGUAAAUGCUACUAGACUUGCUUGUUUAUUCCAAGGGCUAAAAUAUUUAUAGUGUAAAAUUUGAUGCCGUAUAAAUUUAACUUUUUUUCAUAUUUUAAGUACAAGUUAUUAAAUUAAUUUGAAUAAGUAGUUUUGGUUAUUCGGGUUUGGAUUAAGGUGAUUUUUAUAAUUUGAAUAUUUUGUUAAUUCGAAUAUUUGGUGCAAAUAUAUGUAACAGCUCAAUUUUCAAUGGUUUUGGAACCUCGAUUCUGAUAUUCGUAAUAUUUACGAGGUUAGUAUAAAGUUUAAUUAGAGUUUGGUUCUUUACUUUUGUUAAUUGGGUAGUUAACAAAGGUACAAGUGUAACAAUUUUAAAGUCAAUGGUAUUGGAAAACAAGGUAUCAAGACAUCGUUUUCGUAAACCAAGCCCGUAAAUAUUUAUAUUAAAUAUUUAAAUUUAUUUUAUAAGUAAAUUAAAAUUUAGAUAGGUAAUUUUAUUAAAUUAGUGACUAAUUAAGGUACAAUGACUAAAUUAUAAAUAUAGUAAAAUUAAUUGCUAUAGAUUUUUAAUUAAUCAAAGGACCAAUUAAAAAAUUGGACCCUUACAAAUAUGCCAAAUGGUGGUGGGAAUUAGCUAGUAUCCACCAAUUUUUGUUAAUUGUUAUUAAGAUUAAGCUAAUUAAAAUUAGUUAAAUUAAUUAAGGUUAACUAGAUUUAAUCAAACUAUAUACGUUAAAGAAAUGAUUAAAAAAAAAGGUUAUUUUCUUCAUCUUUUCAACCCGUAGGAAAGAAAGAAGAAAAACUAUUUUAAAGCUCAACAUUUAGUCCUUUGAUUGGUAAGUUCGAUUUAAUUUGUUUAUUGUAAUUUAUAUGUUUUUGAGGUUUUGAGAGUUUGAUUUAGCUAAUCAGUACCAAUUUGUAAAAUUGUUAAAAUUUUCAAAAGUUGUCAUUGAUGAAAUUGAUGUUAAAUGGUUAAAUUUUAAACUUAGAUAUGAAAAUGAACAAAAUUGUAAAGUGAAAAUUGUUAGUUUUGAACAUAGAGACUAAAGUGUAAAUAUUUCAAAAUUGAUGUUUAAUUACUGUAAUUAUUGAUAAUGGAGAUCUGUAGAAGGAUGAAAUUGAGAUCAGUUUUGAAAUCGAAACUCAAAUUAAAAAGUUAUAGUAAUUUUGAUUUUAAGGACUAAAUUGAAUAAAAUAAAAAACUUGUGGGAGCAUUUAAAAAAUUGAACUAUCAUCUACAUAUAGUAUGAUGAUAUAAGGUAUUUGGAAUUGAUAAAUUGAAAUGAUUUAUCAUAUAGAUCAGGAUUUGAACCAAUCGGAGGAAAAGACAAAAUUAUAGAUUAAUCCUCGAUGUUUUACAUGUUUUUGUUAGGUUAGUUCAUAUGAGACUUACUUUAUUAAUUCAUGUUAUGUUUGUAUUAUAUCUUUUUUACUUUUUAGUUCAAAUUGUUAGGUAAAUAAUGUCUUUUGACAUCAAAGGGACUAAAUCGUAAAUAUAAAAUAAAUGACUAAUAUGAAUAGAUACAUGAUGAUGAUUAAAUGUGAAAUUGAUAUAUGAUUAAGUAGUAUGUGUAUGAUGAUGUUACAAGGUUAAAAAUGUAUAUGGGUUGUUAUUCAAAAUGUGAAAAGUGAGUAUACAAUUUUAGGGUUUGUAAUGAUAUAGAAUUGGUAACGACGCUGAUUGAACUUAAUAAACAAUUAGGAUAUGAAUGGUAUGUCAUUAAGGUUAAAAAUGAAAUUGGGUGUUGGUAAGAGAUUUCUUUAUCGUCGGCUGAGAUCCAACAUGUGUUGCGAAUUCUCGACAGCUUAAGUGAGCAGCAUCGAAUAAAAUCUAUAUAAGCAACCCUAAUCCACAACUUGUGUGAGCAAAUCGAAUUAUUCUUUAUCGAUGGUUGAGAUCCAGCACAUGUUGCGGAUUCUCAAUAGCUUGAGUGAGCAACAUCGAAUAAAGUUUAUAAGUAAAUAAGCUCUAAGAUUGUAGAGGUAAAUUAGUCCCGUGUAUCCAAAUUUAAAUUAUUAUAGUUCUCUGAAUAGAAAAUGAAAAUUAAAUGGUAAUGAAAUGAUUGAAUGUGAACUUCAUUUAUUUGUUUUAGUAUCGAACAAGGUUGAAUAGUAUGAUGUAAAGUAAUUUGGUUGUACAUGUAUAUGAAUUUAAAUACCAUGAUCUUGUUAUGUGAGGUACUAACCUCCAAGUUGUCUUGUGGAAUGGUUUAUGAAUAUAUAUAAAAAUAAGGAUGCCUAGAAUAUGUCGUGAUGUGCCUUUGUGUUUCAAUUACUUGAAUUGUUAAAAUGACACGGUAAAUUAAGUUAAUUUAUUAUGAACUUACGAAGCAUUCGAAAUGCUUACCAAUUGUUUUUCCCUUUUUUGUAGAUUGUUGGGUUGCAGAACUCAUUGAUCAGAUCACCUUAAAGCUCACAUUCUCUAGCUAUCAAUUCAAUAAACUUUUGGUUGUUUUAAGUUCGAUUAUGUGGCAUGUACAUAGGUAUUUAUCUAUGUGUUACUUGUGAAUGAUGGUUUGGUUUAAACGUCGGUUAAUGUUUGAUUUUGGAAAACUAAAGUUCAUAUAUGCAAUAGUGUAUGUUUUGGUAACUUGUGUAACUUUGUGUUUGAUAUUUCAAUGGUAAAACAAGUAUGAAAUGAUGUAGUAUAUGUGAUGGUAAGAAAUGGAAAAUGCAUUGAUGAUUAUAUUGAAUUGAUUAAGCAAAUUUGAUAUUUUUUGUUUUUUUAAAUGAAGACAUGUUGGAUAGAUUGAAUUGAAAAUGAUGUUGUAAGGUCUUUGGUAUGUAUUAUGGCAUGAUCUUGUGUAGGUAAAGGUGUACAAUUAUGCUCCAAAUGUGAAAUUAGUUAGGUUGACAUGGAAUGAGUACCAAAUGGUUACAAAAAACGGAGUCAACAUCGAGACUAGCAACUCUCAUCGUCGCAUCAUCAAUCGACAGUUUGUGACGUACCGACAUCAAGAGGUUGGAUGUCGCAACGUGAUAAACUAUUUAGCAACAUCAUGACAUUGACACUGAAUUUUUAAAACUUUACAAGUUGAUCUGAAUUCAUGCUUGGGUCAACAAAAGAGCUUUCAUAAGCUUGAUUAAGGCUCGGAUUUAGUUGUGAAUCAUAUUAUGAAUGUGUUUAAGUCAUAAAUGUUUGUUUAUUUGAUAUAUUUACUGUAUUUUUAUAGAUUUUUCUCCGACAAUGAAUGUGACAUCUUGUAACUCGGACCCGGCAAUCGGGUAAUACACAAUACCCAUUGCAUCCUUGUUAAUUUUGAAAAUGAGCUCAUUAGUCCCUUCCAAAAUAAUUACACAAAUGUAACACCCUAUACCUGGCCCAGUAGCGAAGCCCAAGUAACAAGACGCUACUCCAUCAUCUCAUCACCAACAAAGCAUAAUACAUCUCAUUGUCAUACGAUUAACAUCAUAAUUAAAUAAUUAUCGGAGGUUUAAGUCUAAUUUACCCUAGAUGAGGUUGAAAUUUACUAAACAUGCAUUAAUCGACCUUAAAACUAGUUAGAAACAUGCUUAAAGACCAUUUAAUGAAAAUUCCUAAAAGAUCACGUAGGUAUCGAUACUUAUUCGAUGGUAUCGAUAUUUUCCAUAAGGGGUAUCAAUACCAUUAAGAAAAUCGGUACCAUUUUAGCAUUCUGUUUCUCUACAAAAUUUAAAGCUAACAUUUUAUCAAUACAAUUAUCAAAAGUAUUUAUAUUUUCACCUUGAGUAUCGAUACUCGAGAAUUGGUAUUGAUACCAAAUUGAGUUACUGACUUCCUACAUGUGAUAGCCCUAAUUUGACCCUAGUCGGGAAGUGGUUUCGGGACCACAAAACUGAUUCAUAAAAAUAAUUAAUUGUUAUAUUCUAUGCUUAUUAUAUGUGUACAUGCAUAUAUGAAAGUUUCAUGCUCUAAUUUUGUCAUUUGUAUGUGAAAUUAUUAAAUAGGACUUAUGUGAGACAAUUGUGAAAUGUGAUAGCUAAAUUUAAAAGUGGUCUAUUAAUGCAUGUUAUAAAAAGAUGGGACUUGCAUGCCAAAUAUCUCUUUUUGACAAUAGUGGCCGGCCAAGCUCAUACUUAUGGGCAUUAUAUGCAUGGGUUAAUAUUAUUAUAUUAAAUAGUGGUAAGAAACAUGUAAUAAAAAAAUUGUGUUAAAUCAAUGAAGUGAAUAAAACAAAGAAAAGAAAGAAAAGUGUUCAUCUUUUUUAUUUCUUUGGCCGAAAAUUCUAAGAAGAGAAGGGAGGGGAAACAAGCAUUUAGCUACUCCUUUAUAGUCUUGAAUAAGGUAAGUAAUUCAUGUUAGUUCUUGGAUUUUUAGCAUAUUUUAAGUUAGGUAUUAAGUUUCUUACUUAGCCCAUGACAAAAUUUUUGAGUUGUGUGGUGUAUUGAGCAUUCAGCCAUGGGAGAAAUUGAAGGGGAUAGAUUGUUGUUCUUAUAGUUUAAUGAAGUUUGAGCUAGAUAAUACUUAAUUAUUAGUAUUUACAUGUGAAAUGGAUGAACUUGGACUUGUUGAAUUACUUGAACAAAUAAUUUGUUUUCAAGUGUUAAAUGUGAGCAAAUGCCGUUGGGUGAUUGAAUGAAAUAAUUAGAGGUUUUCAUAUCAAGAGGCUCGGCUUGUAAAUGAAUUUUUAAGGGCAUAAAUCUUGAAUAAUGUUAUGCAUAAGUUUCGGCUUUGAUAGUAUUUAUAUAAGUAUAAUUAGUUCAUUUUGAUAAUAUGGUAUGAAGUGAUAAGUAAAAAUAUAAUGGUAGCUUAAGUUAAAUAACAUUCGGCUAUGAAUUUUUGUGUUUAAAUUUUUGAAUGUUGAAUGUUUUAGAAUGAUGAAAUAGAGAUUAUGCUUAAGUGAAAUUAUAGAUAUGUGAUGAUUGAUUGGUGAUAUGCAUGUUUAAAUAACAUGCAUGCAAAGAAUGUGUGAAAGAAUGAAUUGAUAAUAAAUCUGCUUGGGACAACAACAGUAACAUGACUUUGGAAAAUCACCAUAAAUUGUGAGAGUUGAGUUAGAAGCUGAAUAAAUUAUUUUAUUAAAGCUUAAUGAGUCUAUUUUCUUAUAAAAGAAACUGUAAAAGCAAAAGAAUUUCCGAUAAUGAGAUAUUUGAAGUGAUGUAGGACAAGGUUAAAAUGACUUCUAGAUCCCCUAUUCUGUUUUUAUAAAAUCAUGAUAAAUUGUAAAAAAAUGGUUAUAUUAUGGAGUUUAUAUUCUUAGACUCCUUAAUGAGUCUAGUUUCAAAUGAAAUAAAUGAGGACAUAUUUUUAAUUUUUUACAAUGAGAAAUUUGAUUCGUAGUGAAGAGUGGUCAGAUUAGUCAAACAGUGAAACAAGGGAAACUUUAAGAAAAAUAUGGUAUUGAUUGGCCAAGCUAAAAAUUCUGAAAAUUUUAUGGAUAAAAUAUAUAUGAGUCUAUUUUUAGGGAAAUUUUACGGAAAUUUAUUUGGAGUUUCGUAACUCCAAUUAUAAAUAAUUUAGUGACUGUUGCUCAGGAAGACAGCUUAUUGUGAAUUUGUGAUUAUGUGGUAAAUAUUGAUAAAAAUUUGUUAACGAGUUGCUUAAUGUUUUCUUAUAAAAUUACUAUGAUCUAUAUGUGUGAAAGUCGUAUAUAUAUAUUAUAUUCUGAAAGUAAUGCUUGAAUAGUCGAAUAAUGACUAGUUUAAAAUUGUUGAAUUUAAGCUCCAGAGCAUAGAGAACCAAGGUUGGACAAGGGAAAAGAGAAAGUAGUUGAAUAGCCGAUCCGAGACUGUUUGAAAAUAUUCGAGGUAAGUUUUGAGUAGUCACCUUUAGUAUAUAACUGAUGAUGCCUUGAUAUGUAUAUAUUAGAUGAAUUGUGACCUUUUGGUUCUACUUGAAUUAAGUUGUGUGAUAAAUAAUUUAUGUAUAUGACUUAUAGUCGAAUGGUGACUAUGUGUUAAGCUUGAAUGGUGAAAUGGAUAUGUGAUAUUUAUGUAUGACUUUCGAAUCGAAAUGUAAAUGAUGGUAUUCAUAUGAAGCUUAUAUCCGAACGUAGCAAAUGACUACUAAUGUGAUAAGUUGAAUAAGUUAUGUUAAUAUAUGAUUAAAUAUGCAUGAUAUUUGAUGUGUAUCCGGACUUAGGGUCCGCAGGCUAUGUGCUGGAAUUAUAUCCGGACUUAGAGUUUGCAGGCUAUGUGCUGGAAUUAUAUUCGGACUUAAGGUCCGCAGGCUACGUGCUGGAAAUAUGUCCUGGCUAAAGUCCCGCAGGCUUCGAGCUGGUAUUAUACCGGGUUUAAAUUCCCGCAGGCUUGUGCUGGUAAUUGGUUUCAAGUUCUAAUACCUGACAGGCUUAAUGCCAGUAAGUUAAGUAAGAUUACGAUAUUGAAUGUUCGCAGUAAACCAUCGUCGAGUAAGUACUAUACAUUUAAUAUGUUCAGGUACGUAUUACUUACUCAUCGGUGAAUUGAUUUCGAAGUGAAUCAUUAGCAUCAAAGAAGAAUAUAUAUAUAAAUAUGAUGGAUGGUUAUAUUUGCAAAUAUGAGAUUGAUUUAAUCGGUCAUGGUAUAUUUGUAUAUGAAUUAUAUGUUAAAAUUUCUUUAUGUACUCAUGUACAUUCAGUCAAUGAUUUUGUGAAUUAUUAGUAUCAAAGAAUGAUACUUACGUGUGAAUGAUUGUUAUAUCUACGAGUAAAACAAUGACCUAUUUGGUCAAAUGUUGUUAUUAUAUGAGAUUAUUUGAUUUAAAUGCAUCGCAUGAACUUUUAGUAAAAGAAAAAUAUGUGCUGAGAAUCUAUGUUUAUGUUUAUGUGUAUUCGGCCAUGAAGCAAUUUGAAUUGAGAAUAAGUCUGUUUAAAUGAAUGUUUUGAAUUUCGAUAAGUUUUAAUUAUUUGUGAUGCUUAAAACUUACUAAGCUUAUGAAAGCUUACUCCGUUUGUUAUGUUCUUUGUUUUAUAGAUUGUUGAUUCCAGUUACCUGCUCGGAAAGGGGAUCGUCAGCUACUUGUCACACUAUCUAUCAUUUUGGGGUACUACUAUGUUUUGGAGUUAGUAUGGCAUGUAUGGAAUAGACUUAAGUGAAUGAUAUUUCGAGAUGUAUUUGUAUAUAAGCCAUGUGAAUAUGGCUACUUUUGAAUGUCGAUACAAGUUUGAAUCUCGAUCUUUAACUGAGUUUGGCGAUGCAUAUAUAUAUUUAUUAUUAUUGCGUAUGUUUUUAAAAUAUUAAAUUUUGGGAUUAGUAACUCUUCAUAACCCACUCCGGCGACGGACACGGGUUAUAGGGGUGUUACAAUUUUAUUGGUAUCAGAGCUACGGUUUAGUCGAUUCUAGGACUAGCGUAGCGUGUGUGAGUCUAGGUAUACAUGCCAAAAAGUGUUAAAAUGAUAGUGUGAUGAUUUCUGACAAUUAAAACGUGUUUUUCGUAUAGUAAUGGAUUCCGAUCCCGAUCGAGCAGUAGCUGAUGAUGUUGAGAGCGUAGCGCCUGCUCCUGCGAUAGGGACAACACCGAUAGGCUCUCAACCGAAUGCUAGCAAUCAAAAUGAUGAGGCUAAACAAGCCUUCUGUGCUAUGAUGAACGAUUGGUUUACCCAAUAUAUUCGAACUAAUCCGGCUGUUACACAACCCCCACCCCCGACUAAUACAACCCCUACACCUGUGGUAACUCCUAUUGUUGACCCGUUGAGGUUGAGCAAACCCCCAGUUGAUAGAAUUCGAAAGCACGGGGCUACUGAGUUCAAAGCUACUAACAAUGAUGAUACCGAGCAGGCUGAGUUUUGGCUCGAUAAUACCAUUCGUGUGUUUGAUGAAUUAUCGUGCACACCCGAUGAGUGCUUAAAAUGUACUAUAUCACUGUUACGUGAUUCUGCCUAUAUUGGUGGAAUACUUUAGUUUUAGUGGUGCCGAGAGAACAGGUUACUUGGGAUUUCUUUCAAACCGAAUUUUGUAAGAAAUAUAUCAGUCAAAGAUUCAUCGAUCAGAAACGAAAAGAAUUUCUUGAGCUCAAACAGGAUUCUAUGACAGUUACCGAUUAUGAGUGAAAGUUUGUCAAACUUAGUAGAUAUGCUCGGGAAUGUGUUUCGUCUGAGGCUAUUAUGUGUAAACGCUUCGAGGACGGGCUAAAUGAAGAUAUUAAAAUGUUUGUUGGCAUUCUUGAAAUCAGAGAGUUCGUAGUACUUGUCGAGCGAGCUUGCAAAGCCGAGGAGCUUAGUAAGGAAAAAAGGAAAGCUGAUGUUGGAGUUGGAGAGUUUCGUAAAAGAUCUUCGGGAAAGCCUUUUCAGCAAUCAUCGAAGAAAUUUUGAGAUGAUUUGGGCCGAUCUAAGAACACUUCAGACUUUUUCAGACGAGACCGUGAUCGACCUCCUAUGAGUACGCGAGCCACAUCAGUUGCCAGUGUUGGAAAUGAUUGUCGGGAUAGGACCGAGUGCAAGUUUUGUGGAAAAUGACAUUCGGGGAGUUGUAGAUUUCAUGAUCACUCCUGUUAUAGAUGCGAAUCAUUCGACCACUUCAUCAAAGACUGCCUGAGGUUGUCAGAACGAAAUGUGAAUCAGAGUGGAAAACCGAGUACUGCUAUAGCUCGAGGUAGACCACCAAGGAAUACGAGAAAUGCUAGUGGUGGUCAGAGAGGGUCUAAUGCUACGACCAGAUCCGAGGCUCAUACUCCUGCUAGAGCUUAUGCUAUACGCGCAUGCGAGGAUGCUUCUUCGCCUGAUGUUGUUACUGGUACUUUCACUCUCUUUAAUACUGAUGUUAUUGCAUUGAUUGACCCUGGUUCUACUUAUUCAUAUGUAUAUGAGAUUUUAGCAUCCAGUAAGACUCUACCUAUUGAGUCUACUGAGUUCGUGAUUCGAGUUUCGAAUCCCUUGGGUCGAUAUGUGCUAGUUGACAAAGUGUGCAGGAAAUGUCCCCUAAUAAUCCGAGGUUCCUGUUUUCCGGCCGAUUUGAUGCUUUUACCGUUUGAUGAAUUUGAUGUUAUUCUCGGUAUAGAUUGGUUGACUGUACAUGAUGCAGUUGUGAAUUGCAAACGAAAAACUAUUGAUUUGAGAUGUGCAAAUGAUGAGAUAAUCCGAGUUGAGUCUACUGAUUUGAACGGAUUGCCAGCAAUAAUAUCCUCGAUGUUGGCUCAAAAAUAUGCGAGAAAGGGGUGCACCAGUAUUGUUUGUUAAAAAAAAAGAGACGGAACUAUGAGAAUAUGCAUCGACUACCGUCAAUUAAAUAAAGUGACAAUAAAGAAAAAAUAUCCGUUACCACGUAUUGAUGAUUUGUUUGAUCAGCUGAAGGUGUUUCGAAUGUGAAUUCAGAGUUUCAAAUUGACAACAAUGAUUGUUUGAGGUUCGGAAGUCGAUUGUGUGUUCCAAGAAAUUCGGAACUUAUUUCGAUGAUUUUGAGCAAUGCUCAUAGUAGCCGAAAGUCAGUUCACCCAGGUAGUACGAAAGUGUAUAACGAUCUGAAGUGUCAGUAUUGGUGGCACGGUAUGAAACGAGACAUUUCUGACUUUGUCUCGAAGUGUUUGAUAUGUCAACAAGUGAAAGUGGAACAUCAAGUGCCUUCAGGAUUACUUCAGCCGAUUAUGAUACCCGAAUGGAAAUGGGAUCGAGUCACGAUGGAUUUUGUAUCUGGGUUGCCAUUGUCACCAAGCAAGAAAGAUGUGAUUUGGGUUGUUAUUGAUAGAUUGAUAAAGUCGGCUCAUUUUAUUCCCGUACGUACGGACUAUUCACUUGACAAGUUAGUCAAACUGUAUGUUUCUCAGAUUGUAAGGUUACACAGGGUACCUACUUCUAUUGUAUCGGAUAGAGAUCCGAGAUUCACAUCGCAAUUUUGGAAGAAAUUGCAAGAAGCACUGGGUACCAAGUUGCGUUUUAGCACCGCUUUUCAUCCCUAGACCGAUGGUCAAUUCGAGCGAAUAAUUCAGAUACUCGAGGAUAUGUUGAGAUGUUGCAUCCUUAAGUUUAGUGGUUCAUGGGAACGGUAUUUGCCUUUGAUUGAAUUCGCUUACAACAAUAGUUUUCAAUCAAGCAUUAAGAUGGCACCUUACGAGGCUUUGUACGGUCGUAAAUGCCGUACACCGUUGAUUUAGACCGAGCUCAGUGAAAGUAAAAUUUUCAAGGUUGAUUUAAUUAAAGAUGCUGAACAGAAAGUAAAAGUGAUACGUGAAAGUCUGGAAACAGCUUCAGAUCGUCAGAAGUCGUAUAUGGAUUUAAAACGAAAAGACAUUGAGUAUCAGGUCGGAGAAAAAGUAUUUCUUAAAGUUUCACCUUGGAAAAAGGUGCUCAGAUUUAACCGUAAGGGAAAAUUGAGUCCGAGGUUCAUCGGGCCGUAUGAAAUAUCCGAAUGAAUUUGGCCAGUCGCAUACAGAUUAAUUUUGCCCCCUGAACUUGAAAAGAUUCACAACGUUUGUCAUGUCUUGAUGCUUCGACGUUAUAGAUCCGAUCCAUCGCACAUAAUUAAUCCAUCCGAGGUUGAAAUACAAUCUGAUUUGAGUUAUGAAGAAGAACCGAUUCGUAUCCUAGCUCGCGAGGUGAAAGAGUACGAAACAAAAAGGUUCCGUUAGUAAAGGUGUUAUGGCUCAAGCACGGGAUCGAAGAAGCUACUUGGGAACCCGAGAACUCUACGAAAGAACGAUACCCAAAUCUAUUUACUGGUAAGAUUUUCGGGGACGAAAAUUCCUUAAGUGGGGGAGAGUUGUGACAGCCCUAAUUUGACCCUAGUCGGGAAAUGGUUUCGGGACCACAAAACCGAGUCAUAAAAAUCAUUAAUUGUUAUAUUCUAUGCUUAUUAUAUGUGUACAUGCAUAUGUGAAAGUUUCAUGCUCUAAUUUUGUCAUUUGUAUGUGAAAUUAUUAAAUAGGACUUAUGUGAGACAAUUGUGAAAUGUGAUAGCUAAAUUUAAAAGUUGUCUAUUAAUGCAUGUUAUAAAAAGAUGGGACUUGCAUGUCAAAUAUCUCUUUUUGACAAUAGUGGCCGGCCAAGCUCAUACUUAUGGGCAUUAUAUGCAUGGGUUAAUAUUAUUAUAUUAAAUAGUGGUAAGAAACAUGUAAUAAAAAAAUUGUGUUAAAUCAAUGAAGUGAAUAAAACAAAGAAAAGAAAGAAAAGUGUUCAUCUUUUUGAUUUCUUUGGCCGAAAAUUCUAAGAAGAGAAGGGAGGGGAAACAAGCAUUCGGCUACUCCUUUAUAGUCUUGAAUAAGGUAAGUAAUUCAUGUUAGUUCUUGGAUUUUUAGCAUAUUUUAAGUUAGGUAUUAAGUUUCUUACUUAGCCCAUGACAAAAUUUUGAGUUGUGUGGUGUAUUGAGCAUUCGACCAGGGGAGAAAUUGAAGGGGAUAGAUUGUUGUUCUUAUAGUUUAAUGAAGUUUGAGCUAGAUAAUACUUAAUUGUUAGUAUUUACAUGUGAAAUGGAUGAACUUGGACUUGUUGAAUUACUUGAACAAAUAAUUUGUUUUCAAGUGUUAAAUGUGAGCAAAUGCCGUUGGGUGAUUGAAUGAAAUAAUUAGAGGUUUUCAUAUCAAGAGGUUCGGCUUGUAAAUGAAUUUUUAAGGGCAUAAAUCUUGAAUAAUGUUAUGCAUAAGUUUCGGCUUUGAUAGUAUUUAUAUAAGUAUAAUUAGUUCAUUUUGAUAAUAUGGUAUGAAGUGAUAAGUAAAAAUAUAAUGGUAGCUUAAGUUAAAUAACAUUCGGCUAUGAAUUUUUGUGUUUAAAUUUUUGAAUGUUGAAUGUUUUAGAAUGAUGAAAUAGAGAUUAUGCUUAAGUGAAAUUAUAGAUAUGUGAUGAUUGAUUGGUGAAAUGCAUGUUUAAAUAACAUGCAUGCAAAGAAUGUGUGAAAGAAUGAAUUGAUAAUAAAUCUGCUUGGGACAACAACAGUAACGUGAUUUUGGAAAAUCACCAUAAAUUGUAGGAGUUGAGUUAGAAGAUGAAUAAAUUAUGUAAUUAAAGCUUAAUGAGUCUAUUUUCUUAUAAAAGAAACUGUAAAAGCAAAAGAAUUUCCGAUAAUGAGAUAUUUGAAGUGAUGUAGGACAAGGUCAAAAUGACUUCUAGAUCCCCUGUUCUGUUUUUAUAAAAUCAUGAUAAAUUGUAAAAAAAUGGUUAUAUUAUGGAGUUUAUAUUCUUAGACUCCUUAAUGAGUCUAGUUUCAAAUGAAAUAAAUUAGGACAUAUUUUGAAUUCUGUACAAUGAGAAAUUUGAUUCGUAGUGAAGAGUGGUCAGAUUAGUCAAACAGUGAAACAGGGGAAAAUUUAAGAAAAAUCUGGUAUUGAUUGGCCAAGCUAAAAAUUCUGAAAAUUUUAUGGAUAAAAUAUAUAUGAGUCUAUUUUCAGGGAAAUUUUAUGGAAAUUGAUUUGGAGUUUCUUAUCUCCAAUUAUAAAUAAUUUAGUGACUAUUGCUCAGGAAGACAGCUUAUUGUGAAUUUGUGAUUAUGUGGUAAAUAUUGAUAAAAAUUUGUUAACGAGUUUCUUAAUGUUUUCUUAUAAACUUACUGUGAUCUAUAUGUGUGAAAUUCAUAUAUAUAUAUUAUAUUCUGAAAGUAAUGCUUGAAUAGUCGAAUAAUGACUAGUUUAAAAUUGUUGAAUUUAAGCUCCAGAGCAUAGAGAACCAAGGUUGGACAAGGGAAAAGAGAAAGUAGUUGAAUAGCCGAUCCGAGACUGUUCGAAAAUAUUCGAGGUAAGUUUUGAGUAGUCACCUUUAGUAUAUAAUUGAUGAUGCCUUGAUAUGUAUAUAUUAGAUGAAUUGUGACCUUUUGGUUCUACUUGAAUUAAGUUGUGUGAUAAAUAAUUUAUGUAUAUGACUUAUAGUCGAAUGGUGACUAUGUGUUAAGCUUGAAUGGUGAAAUGGAUAUGUGAUAUUAUGUAUGACUUUCGAAUCGAAAUGUAAAUGAUGGUAUUCAUAUGGAGCUUAUAUCCGAACGUAGCAAAUGACUACUAAUGUGAUAAGUUGAAUAAGUUAUGUUAAUAUAUGAUUAAAUAUGCAUGAUAUUUGAUGUGUAUCCGGACUUAGGGUCCGCAGGCUAUGUGCUGGAAUUAUAUCUGGACUUAGGGUCCGCAGGCUAUGUGCUGGAAUUAUAUCUGGACUUAAGGUCCUCAGGCUAUGUAUUGGAAAUAUGUCCGGGCUAAAGUCCCGCAGGCUUCGAGCUGGUAUUAUACCGGGUUUAAAUUCCCGCAGGCUUGUGCUGGUAAUUGGUUUCAAGUCCUAAGACCUGACAGGCUUAAUGCCAGUAAGUUAAGUAAGAUUACGAUAUUGAAUGUUCGCAGUAAACCAUCGUCGAGUAACUACUAUACAUUUAAUAUGUUCAGGUACAUAUUACUUACUCAUUGGUGAAUUGAUUUCGAAGUGAAUCAUUAGCAUCAAAGAAGAAUAUAUAUAUAAAUAUGAUGGAUGGUUAUAUUUGCGAAUAUGAAAAUGAUUUAAUCGGUCAUGGUAUAUUUGUAUAUGAAUUAUAUGUUAAAAUUUCUUUAUGUACUCAUGUACAUUCAGUCAAUGAUUUUGUGAAUUAUUAGUAUCAAAGAAUGCUACUUAAGUGUGAAUGAUUGUUAUAUCUACGAGUAAAACAAUGACCUAUUCGGUCAAAUGUUGUUAUUAUAUGAGAAUAUUUGAUUUAAAUGCAUCGCAUGAACUUUUAGUAAAAGAAAAAUAUGUGCUGAGAAUCUAUGUUUAUGUUUAUGUGUAUUCGGCCAUGAAGCAAUUUGAAUUGAGAAUAAGUCUGUUUGAAUGAAUGUUUUGAAUUUCGAUAAGUUUUAAUUAUUUGUGAUGCUUAAAACUUACUAAGCUUAUGAAAGAUAACUCCGUUUGUUACGUUCUCUGUUUUAUAGAUUGUUGAUUCCAGUUACCUGCUCGGAAAGGGGAUCGUCAGCUACUCAUCACACUAUCUAUCAUUUUGGGGUACUACUAUGUUUUGGAGUUAGUAUGGCACGUAUGGAAUAGACUUAAGUGAAUGAUAUUUCGAGAUGUAUUUGUAUAUAAGCCAUGUGAAUAUGGCUACUUUUGAAUGUCGAUACAAGUUUGAAUCUCGAUCUUUAACUGAGUUUGGCGAUGCAUAUAUAUAUUUAUUAUUAUUAUUAUUGCGUAUGUUUUAAAAUAUUAAAUUUUGGGAUUAGUAACUCUUCAUAACCCACUCCGGCGACGGACACGGGUUAUAGGGGUGUUACACUACACUUAUGAAAUAAUAUGGAGGUAUCGAUACUAAAUACUCAAUUAUCGAUACCUCUGCACUAAACACUGAAAUUCACAGCAGAAUAGGGCAAUUAACUCAACCAUACAUAAACCAAUGUAUCAUGCAUUCAUGACCUCAAAAUUCAACAUAAAAAAUAUUCGAAUUCGCAGUUCCACGAGUCAUCAAUAAAUUAAGCUACACAAAUCAAUGAACUAGUAUCAAACGUCCAUAAAUUCUAUGAGUAAUAAAAUCAAGCAAUCAUCUGAAACAUCAUGACAAUAAUCAACCAACAAAUCUAUCACACUAUCUUAUUCCCACAGUUCAACGUAAUGACUAUAAAAUCACCUACUCAAUUACAAAAGCUAACUUAUAUAAUUUCUUUGGUAUUUCUACACCGCUCACAGCACAACACUAACUAUCUACAAAGGUUUAAAAAGAGUGAGUGAGCUUAAACAAGCUCAAUGAGUGCUUAGAAAAACCACCAAAUAAACAAGAAUUCACACGUUAAAUGAAAAUGACCAAAGCACAAUUACAUACACAAUUUACUAUGAUGACAUACAUAAAGUAUUCAUGCAACAUUUACCAACUCUUCUAGUUCAUUAAUCACAUGAUUAUGCAUACAUCACAUAUUGCAAUAUUUCAUUUAAUCAUAAAUUGACACUUGAGGCUAUGAAACAUAAAAGUGGGCUCUACCACCAUACAUUGGAUACUCGGAUCUCCAACACACCAAUGACUUGAUGAGUCGAACAUAUCCCAAAAGCGUAGCAUUUAGGUAACACUCUCCAACACACCAACAUAUCUCGGUGAAUGGAGUCAAGCUCACAUUCCGUUAUCUCUCCAAAUCUGUCUCAGGCCUCAUUGUCCCAAAAACACAACACAUGGGUGAAUACUCACAAAUCCUAUGGCAUGCCAACUAUAUCAUAUGGUCUCAAAUAUCACAAGGCCAAAAUAUUUGCAAUUAUAAAUACAUUUUACUUAUCGAUUUUUGCACUUUUUCACUACAUAUUCACAAUAUAAGCACAAUAUUAUCACCGUCAAUCGACAUGUAUACAUACCCACAAUUAUCACAUUCUUAAUAGCCAUCACAACAUAUUUCACAUGUCACAUUGUCAUAUCUUAAUUCUCAAUUCCACAACACACAAUCACAUAUUUCACAAAUUAAACAAGGGUAUAAGAAAGCUUAAACUUGGAACUUAGAGUAGGGGUUUAGGCUACUUUUAAAUUUCCAAUUAACACUAUGAAUCGCGUCUACUCGCAGCGGUUCUAAACACUCACUGUUGCGUUUUCGCCUAGAUGCCAAAAGCUUAAACUAGCUUUUUCUUGCCUUUCGUUUUACUUGAAAAAGGUCCUAACGGCUCUAGAGCUUCACCAAAGUAAAUAAUAAAAUAAACACAAUUAACAUUCAACCAUAGACCAACCUAAAUCAACUAAAAACACAAGCCUAAGCUAGAUUCUCUUGAAACUAAAAUUUUGACUUAGCUGAAACACAAAAAUCUCAACACCUACUCAUUGUCAUUGCAUAGAAAUGGUUCCAGUCACCUAAUUAUAUAUCUAAGAAUCAUUCCCAACCUUCAAAAUACACAAUACUAUACAGAUUCAUGGUUAUAAAAUUUCGACAUACGAUGGCAAUUUUUACAAAAACUCAAUAAAACCUUAUAAUUCUUUAAUGAAACUUUAGGGAAAGUUUAGAAACCUUAUAAUCACAUCAAAACAAGAUGAAAAACACUUUGAAACAUCAUUUUCAUUCAAAAUCCUGAAUUUCACCAUUAAAGACCCAAUUUUUAGCAUUUAUUCAAAAUUGUUGAUUCAAUAGAUAAAAGCUCGAUUUAAAAGGAUAGAUAUCAUCAAAACUAAUAGGAAAAAUGAAUCAUUACCUUCGAUGAGAGAAAUACGAAUGUUUGGUUGAAAAUUUGAAAAACCAAUAAGUUUGAGAGAGGACAAAAUUAAUGAUGUUUUUUGUGUUUUUCUUGAAAUUCUAGAUUAGUUUAAUGUUUACAAGAUGAUUGAAAUCAAAGGAUUGAUGUUUAGAAAAUAUAAAUUAAGUGAAUGGUGUUUUGGAAAUCAAGGGACGGCAACAAGGGGUAAGGGAAAAAUAGUUUCGUGAGUUUUGCUGCAGGCGGGGGGAAGAAAUAGGUCAAUUUUAAACUUUAGUGUAUUUACUCUUUUGGUACUCUUAAAUUUAACCCCUUUUUCAAAACAAUUCUAUUUUCAAAAUUGAAGAUCUUUUCUACAUUAUUUUUCAAAAAUUGAUUUAACUUUAAAAAAUCUAUAGAUGAAGACAUUUCCAAUUUACCAUGCUUCAAUUUUCUGAACACAUUUUGAGAUAAAAUCCUUAAAUUACCCUCAAAACUCCUAGGCCCAAUUUUGGGGUGUGACAGCUCUCGCCCUCUAAAAAGAAUUUCUUCUUCGAAAUUUACUUGAUCUAAACAAAUAAGGAUAUUACCGUUUCAUCACAUCUUCUACUUUCCAAGUAGCUUCUUCUGUCUUGUGGUUUCACCACAAAACCUUAACCAACGGAACCAUCUUAUUUUGCAAAACCUUCUCUUUCAAGCUAGAAUCUCGGCUCUUCCUCAUAAGUGAGAUCAAUUCGAACUUUAAUCUUCUCUACUGGGGCAAUGUGCGACGGAUCUAAACGAUACUUCCAUAACAUAGAUCCAUGGAAAACAUCAUGGAUUAGCUCAAGUUUUGGCGACAACUUGAGUUGAUAAGUUACCAAACCAAUACGCUCAACAACUUUAUAAGGUCUAACAUAUCUUGGACUCAAUUUACCCUUCCUACCAAUCCUCAAAACCUUCUUCCAAGGUGAAACUUUUAAAAACACAUUAUCGCCAACUUGAAACUUGAUAUCUCGACGUUUCAAAUUUGUACAAGAUUUUUUCCUUGGAUGCUGCUUUCAAUUGCUCACAACUUAAUUGCUCACAAAUUAACUUCACUUUCUCUUCAGUCUCUUGAACCAAAUUCGGUCCAACAACUUGCUUUUCAUCUAAUUCUAUCUAACACAAAGGAUUCCUACACUUCCUAACAUACAACGCUUCAAACAGUGCCAUACGAAUACACGACUGAAAAUUGUUGUUGUAGGCAAAUUCUGCUAAGGGCAAAUAUCUCUCCCAACUACUACUAAACUCGAUCACAUAACUUCGUAACAUAUCUUCUAAAACUUGAAUCACCCUUUCUAAUUGGUCAUCUAUUUGAGGAUGAUAAGUUGUACUGAAACUAAGCUUCAAUCUAAAGCCUCUUGUAAACUUUUUGAAAACCUAAAAGUAAAAUGCAGAUCCUUAUCCGAAAUAAUAGAAACUAGAACCCCAUGAAGACGUACAACUUUAGCAAUAUACAACUCUGCCAACUUUUGCAAAGAAUAACUAGUACGCAUGCCAAGAAAUGUGCACUCUUUGAAAACCAAUCGACUAUUACCCACACUAAUUCCUUCUUCGUUGGGGUUAGAGGCAAAUUGGAGACAAAGUCCACGGUGAUCAUUUCCCACUUCUAUUAAGGAAUCACAACCGGUAGUAACAAAUCUUAAGGAUACUAAUGUUCUACUUUCACCUUCUAACAAACCAAACAUCAAAUCACAAAAUCCAUAACAUCACGCUUCAAACCAGGCCACCAAUAAAUCUCUCGAAGAUCGUGAUACAUUUUACCACUGCCGAGAUGCACAGUGUAAGGGCUACUAUAUACCUCGAUAAGGAUCGCCUGUCUCAAAUCCACAUCAUGUGGCACACACAAAUCUUCCUCAAAAAUUCAUUAUAACCUCACUGUCAACAUCAAAAUCUCCUUUUCCACCUUGCUCAACCUAUCAAAUCCUCUUUAACAAUUCCCUAUCUAAUGAUUGUUUCUCCUUAAUUUGCUAAGAAAAAGUUGACUUUACUUGAAGUUCAGCUAACAAACCACCAUCACUGGCUAAACCCAAGUGCACAAACAUAACUCGCAAUUUCAUCACCGACUUUCUACUCAAAGCUUCAGCAACAACAUUCAUAUUGUUGGAAUGAUACUCUAUUACACAAUCAUAAUCUUUCAAAAGUUCAAAACUUCGAACCUCCGUAACACUCAUUGGCAGUUUCCAUUAUAAGAUCACCUCAAUUUUUAUUGGGUCCAUACGUAUUCCUUCUACCAACACAACAUAACCUCAAAAUGUCACAUCUUUUAACCAAAAUUUACACUUACUCAACUUUGCAUACAACUGCUUAUCCUUCAAAACCUGCAAAACAAUCCUUAAAUAUGCAUCGUGAUCCUCUUCUGAACGAGAAUACACUAGAAUGUCGUCUGUGACAAUAACCACAAACUGAUCCAAGUACGAAUGAAACAUACGAUUCAUUAAAUCCAUGAAUACAGCAGGGGCAUUAGUUAAACUAAAAAGCAUGACUAAAAACUCAUAACGCCCACACUAAGUCCUAAAAGUAGUUUUCAAGAUGUUUGACUCCUUCACUUUUAACUGAUAAUACCCUAAUCUUAGGUCAGUCUUUGAAAAUAUCGUUGCUCCUCUAAAUUUGUAAAAGUCUAAUUUUUCAAUGGUGUCAGAAACAGUAGUUCGAGGCCACCAAAUCCGUUGAGUAAGCUCGUAAAAUUUAUUAUUUAAUUUUUACAAGUUAAAUAUAGUUUUAAAAAGGUUUUUGAAUUGGUAAUUUGUAUUUUAUAAUGGUUUAUUAGGUCAAGUGGUAUUAGAAAGUAAGGUAUCGGGACCUCACUUUUAUAAAUAAAACCAUAAAUAUUUUUAUAAAUAUUUAUGGAGUGUCAUUAAGGUAGUAUUAAGGUUUCGUUGAAAAAUUUUAACGUUUUGAUAGUCAAUUAAUUAAAAAGGACUAAAUUGAAAAAGAUGCAAAACUUGCUAAUUAUAAUAUUUAAGAGAUUAAAUGGCUUGGUUAAUAAAUAAAGAAGGACCUAAGUAAUAAUUGUACCUAAAUUUAAUGGACGAGGCGGCAUAAGAGAAAAAAUAAUAAAAUAAGGCCAUUUAAUGGCAAAAUUGUAAUUUUGGUGAAAUUAAAAUAAAACAAAUUUGAAAUUGGAAAGUUUCUAGAUAUUUUCUUCUACAAUUUUCAGUUCAAAACAGACAUAGAAGCGAGCUUAAGCUGGUUUUUCAUAUUUUUGCUUCAUGUGAGUUCAAUUAUUACCCGUUUCUUGUAAUGUUUAUGUUUUUGAGAUUGUUACAAUUAGGUCCAACUACACCAUACCUUUGUUUUGAUUUUAUUAAAAAUUUUGGAAGUUUCCAUUGAUAAAUAUUAGUUUUUUUUUUAUGAAUAACAUGGAUUUAGAGCUUUGAUUAUGUUGUAUAGUGAUUUUAUAAAGUGAUUUUUCUUAAAUAUUGAUUUUAUGAAUUUUGUGCCUAUUAAGGGCUGUACGAGGGCCUAAAAUAUUUGGAUAGAUUAUUGAUUAAGAAAAUUAGUUAAUUUUAUAGAUUAACUAAUUAAGGGAUUAAAUUGUAAAAAUUGUAAAAGUUUGGGGUAGUUAUGUAAAUUUAAAAAAUAAAAGGGUAUUAAUUAUAAAAUGAAUUGGAAAUGGAAUAUAUGCUAAUAAACGAGUAAUUUUAUAUUUUAGAUCAAGAUCCCGUAGAUACUUGUGAAAAACGAAAAAUAGCAUAAUAGUCCCUAAACUUCUACAAUUAUUACAAUUCAAUUUAUGUAAGUUCAUACGGUUAAAAAUUUAACAUUUGUAUAAAUUUAUGAAUGGUAUUAUGUACUUAUUCUAUUGUUGGAAUUAUAAUAUUGAAUUGGAUAUUCUAUUUGAAUUGAACGCGAGAUUUGAGUACAUUCGUAAUUUGGUGUAUGAUGGUAUUGGAGGGAAAUAUAAGCAUUUUACCCAAGUAAAUCGGGGUUCAGCAUUUGUUGCAAACUUUCAUGUUUUACUUUUUGUUUGGCAUAAUUGGGUGGAUCAGCUCUUAAUUAUGAGUUUAUGUUCAGCUCUUAUGAGCUUUUGUUCAGCUCUUACGAGCUUGUUCAGCUUUCGAGCUUCUGUUGGCGUAUUGGGGAGGACCAGCUCUUAUGAGCUUCUGUUGACGAUGUACUCUUAUUCGUAAGUCGUUCUUCGAAUGGAAAAAUUUCGGUAAGGUGAUUUAUUAAAUGAAUUUGAAAGACAUUUUAUUCAUUUUUAUAUUGAUUUGAAUAUGGAUGUAUUCAUCAAUAGAAGUUAUGAAUGACAGAAAAUUGUCUGUGAAUGACAGGGAAUUGACAUUAAUGAUUUUAUUUAUUUGACUUGUUAUAGUAGGCUUGGUAAGAUUUUGUUUAACCCGUCGAACUUACUAAGCUUCAUUAAGCUUAUAUGUGUUGUUUAAUGUCUUUGUAGAUUUUAGGAAGGUUGGAGGAUCAGAUCAGCACUCAAGUCACACUAUCUAACUUAUCUCGGUAGUUUUUGAAACAUUAAAUACGAUUUAUAUGGCAUGUAUAGGCUUUCGUACAAACUUAGUCAAAGUUUAGCUUAUAAAAAUAUUAUGAAUAAUUUUUUGUCUAUAUAAGCAACUCACAUAUUAGUAUGAAAUUAAGGCAUGAUUGUGAUAUUAGUAUAAGUGAUAUAUGUAUGUAUGUAAUUGAGCUAUAAUGAACUUUGGUAUAAACUAAUUAGGUAAGGUUGGAUACUUGGUUGACAUUUUUCUAAGUUGUCAUUUGAGGUAUCUAAGGGUUUUUUAAUUGUAUAUGGUGAUAAUACAUGUUUAGGAAUUGAUUUUAGCUUGUGUUAAAUGACUUGUUAUGGCUUGUUGAUGUGUAAAUUUUUGAGGCUAGGUUGGUAUCAAUUUGGGUGAGAAAUGUAGCUCAGAAAAUGGCCUAUUUUUGUCUACAACGGUAGAGACACGGGCGUGUGUCUCAGCCGUAUGUGACAUACGACCAGGUGACACGGUCGUGUGUCCCCUAUAUCUUUUAGGAAUGCAAGUUAGUAUGCUCACACAGCCUAGCACACAGGCAUAUGACUUGGCCAUGUGGCUUAAGUUAGAGAGUUACAUAUGUAUGGACUCGGGCUGAACAUGGUCAUGUGUCCCUAUUUUGAAUGCCCACAUGGCCUGAGACAUGGACGUGUCUCCUGACGUGUGAGUCACACGGUUGUGUGUCACUUGCAGCUUUGAAAAAUUUGAAUGUUUUUCAAAAAAUUCUUUGAGUACCCGAUUUAGUCCCGACUUGUUUCUAACACGUAUUUUGGGCCCCGAGGGUUCAUCUAAGGGACAAUAUGUUUGAUUUCGAUUGGUUUCUGACAUGAAUGUGAUAUUCUAUGAAAUAUCUAUUUAUUGAUUUUUAAACUCCAGUAAUGCUUUGUAACCCUGUUUCGGUGAUGGAUACGGGUUAGGGGUGUUACAGAAGUGAUCAAAUAAAUCAUCAAUUCGAGGUAAAUGGUACUUAUUCUUGAUGGUCAUCUUAUUCAACUAUCUAGAUUCUAUACAUAACUACAUCAUAUCAUCCUUCUUCUUCACAAAAAAAACCGAUGCACCCCACGGAGAUACACUUGGUCGAAUGAACCCUCUGUCAAGCAACUCUUACAACUGAAUCUUUAAUCAUUGAGCUCUUUUAGUGCCAUGUGAUAGGGAGCAAUAGACAUCGAUGCAGUGCCAGGAUAGAGCUCAAUACCAAACUCUACUUCACGUUCCAACAGCAAACCAGGCAAUUCUUUAGGAAAUACAUUAGAAAAUUUCUUAACGGUACGAAUAUCCUAAAUUCUUAAUUCCUUACUAACUAAGUUCAUCACAUAAGCCAAAUAAACUUCGCAACCUUUCCCCAUCAUUUUCUCAGCCUUGAUAGCUGAAACCACAUUAGACAUAAAUUCAAGUCUUUCACCAACAACUACAAUUCCCACCUAUCACUAUUCCACAAAGUAAUUUGUUUCAAAAUCCACCUUAGCCUUAUGUUUACUUAACUAGUUCAUACCAAGAAUCACAUUGAAACCGUAAAAAGUCAAUUCCAUAAGAUUCACAGAGAAAACCAGCCAUUGAAUCAUAAGGGGACACCUAUGAUACACUUGAUUUACCACAACACUAUCAUCGAAGGAGCUAAUAACGGUCAUACCCAAACCAACAGUUGUUACAGGAAUCCCUAACUUACAUUCCAACUCAUUUAAGAUAUACGAAUGCGUAUAACUAGAAUCAACCAAAGAAAAUAAUGGAAUAGACUACAAAGUGAAAGUACUUGUGAUAACAUCAAUCGGAUCCUGAUCCUUCGGCUCCCUAAUAGCAUAAACCCGAGCUGAACAUCCAGAAUAAGCUAACUUACAUUACUUUUGAAUACCUAAAAUAAACUUUUUUUAAAGAAAACCAACCAUAGUUGUACUUUGAUUAAGCUUAAAAGUAUUCAUUCAUUAGGUCGUGUAUACUCAGGAUUCAUUUUAUUGUUGAUAGUGUUGUUUUAGAAAAAUCGUUUGCUUGUUGCUAUUCUUUAAGGAAAAAAAACUCGAUGUUAAACUAAUGCAGCGGAAAAACCAUUUUUCAAGUCAUUUUGGAAACUUAGUUACGUUAUCAAUUUGUUUUUCAAAAAUGGUUCCUCUGCAAUGUAAUGGAAACUAGGGAACAAUAUCAAAUUUUACUUAAGCACGAAAUCAUGCAUUAUCCAAUUAUUAUGCUUAAGUAAUCCAUACAUGCAAAAAUCCCAGAAUAAAAGUUAGCAAGCCACAGACCAGAAAUAAUUAAAAAUAAAUUUACAAACCAAAACCAAUAGAAACAGAUUAAUACUUAUUAAAUAUAGUCUGAGCUCCAAGGUGAUUCUCUGAAUGCCGAGUUCAGUCCUAAUUUCGAGGUUUACCUGAAAAGUUAAACACUAUUGGCGGUGAGCUUAUGAAAAGCUCAGUGUGAGUUAAAUAAUUAUUCAAACGGGCAAAAACAUCGAACAUAGUGAAACAUAUUAGCUUUAACAGAAGAAAAUAGAACCAUCAUAGGAAUUUCAUAUCAUUACAUAGCCAUUAUCAAAUUGAUGUCAAAUGGCGUAUGAGCAUGGGACAUUAUUCAUUCGAGUAACAAUCAUUAAUUUCGAUACAUUUCAAUAUAACACAAUACACCACAUAUCAUAAAUCAAUAACAUUCGAAUAUGUCGUGAGCAUGAUACAAUACAAAAAGGUUCCUACCCAUACCAUCCACUACAAACUACGAGUUCCCUAGAACCCGUCAUCCAAACUCCAAAACAUUAUGGGCUUAAGCCCAUUGUGGUUAAAAUCAUCGAUAACAAUAUGCAGAAAUUUUUGCCAAUAAAAAUGUAGACAAGCUGCCAGUGAAAAUGCGAUAAAUCACCAUUCCCCUCGGUAUCCAAGUGUAGUGCACUGACUACAAAUAAUGCGGACUUAAUAUACCGUCGGUACUCCACGAAACUCCUUCGUCAACCACAAAAUCUCAACCCAAUACAUAUGUAAUAUGUCACAUAAUCCUAUACAUAAUCAUAUCUCAAUACUUUUCACAUUCAUUUGACAUGCUCAGCAUAUCCUCAAUAAUAACCUAUUUUCAGUAAAUGGAAAUAGUGUUCCAAUCUUUCAAAUUACCAUUGUGUUGGUAUUAAUCAAUAUAGUUCAAUUUCACAUACUUUACAAAUUUUCGUUGUGCAUAAAUAGCACCCUUUUCAGUACACAAUAUAACAAUUAUCUUAUACGUUUAAAUCAUAUAUAAGCUUAAUAUCUCAACAUAUUAUUUCAUUCCAUCAAACAUUCUCAUAUUGUAACAGCCUGAUUUUCAGUAGUGACGGAAAUAGUGGUUUGAAGACACUAAAUUCGACGAAUAAACUCAUAAAAUUUUUUAUUUAGUAUUUACGAGUCAAAUAUGGAUUUUAAAAAGGUUUUUGAAUUGAUAAUUUGUGUUUUAUAAUAAUUUAUUAGGUGAAGUGAUUUUAGAAAAUGAGGUAUUAGGACCUCGUUUCUAUAAGCCGAGCUGUAAAUAUUUUUAUAAAUAUUUAUGGAGUGUCAUUAAUGUAGUAUUAAAGAUUCGUUGAAAAAUUUUAACAUUUCGAUAGUUAAUUAAUUAAAAAUGACUAAAUUGAAAAAGGUGAACAACUUGCUAAUUAUAAUAAUUAAGUGAUUAAGUGGCAUGAGUAAUAAAUAAAGAAGGACCUAAAUAGAAAUUAUGCCUAAAUGAAAAGUUGAGGCGACAUAUGAAAGAAAAAAAAAAGCCAUUAAUGGCAAAAUUGUAAUUAAAGUGAAAUUAAAACACCUAAAUUGAAUUUUAAAAGGAUUUCUAGACGUUUCUUCUUUAAUUUCAGUUCAAACAAACAUGGGGAGAGCUCCUUAAGCUGGUUUUGCAUAUUUGCUUCAUGUGAGUCCAAUUCUUACCCGUUUCUUAUAAUUUUUAUGUUUUUGAGAUUGUUACAAUUAGGUCCAACUAAAUCUUACCUUAGUUUUUUUUUAUUUUGUUAAAGAUUUUGGAUGUUGCAAUUGAUGAAUCUAUAUGAUUUUUUAUGCUAAAUGAUGAAUUUGAGAUAUUAUUUGUUAUUUAAAAGUAUUUUGUUAAGUGAUUUUGAUGGAUUUUUCAAUUAAGGAUUAAUUUGUUAAAUUAGUAAAAAAUACAAGCAUUUGUUGUGAAAUUAUUGUAAAAAUUGGCUGUAUUGAAUGCAAUGAAUAUUAAUCUAGCAUGGGUUUGCAUUGAAAAUGGUUAAUUUGCAUGUUUUGGCCUCAGGGACUAAAUUGAAUAAAAGUAAAACUUUAAGGGUAAUGUUGUAAAAAUGAAUUAUUUUAUUGUCUAAAUUAAUAUAUUGAAAGAAAUUAUUAAUUUAGAUCAAGUUCAAGUGAAAAAUUGAGGAAAAGAAAAAAUUUUCAAAAUGCCCCUGAAUAUUGGUAUUUCUGCAAUUUAACUAGGUAAGUUCGUACGGUUAUACUUUAAUAAUUAUAUUGAUUUGAUGGAUGAUAUUAUGUAUUUAUUCUAUUUUUGAGAAUGAAUUAUUGUUGAAUUUUAAUUUGAAUUGAAUAUUCAGAUUAAAUGGAACGCGAGAUUUGAGUAUAUUCGUUUUUUGGCGCAUGACGACAUUGGAGGAAAAUGGCAGCAAAUUAGCCAAGUAAACUGAGGUUCAACAGUUGUUGCGAACUCUCGUGUUUUACUUUUCGUUUAGUUCUUACGAGCUUCUAUUUAACUAAUAUGAGUUUUCAUUCAACUCUUUCGAGCUUCUGUUCAAUUCUUAUGAGUUACCGUUUAGCUCUUAUGUGCUUCUAUUUAACUCAUAUGAGUUUUUGUUCAGCUCUUACGAGCUUCUGUUCAACCCUUAUAGGUUACUUUUUAGCUCUUACGAGCUUCUGUUAAGCUUUCGAGCUUCUGUUAAUGAUAUACUCAAAUCCGUAAGUAGUUCUUCGAAUGAUAAAAUAUAAGAAGUUGUCUUGGACGAUAUAUGUAUAUGGAGAAAUGGUAAGAGAAUGAUGUGUAUCAUGAUAUGUAUAUAUAUCAAUAUCUUGACUUUUUGAUACAUGAAAAUUAUAUAAGUUGAGACGAGUAAUAAAUUCAAGUGUGACAUGUUGAGAUAAUAAGAUUAUCGAUGUUGAAAUUAUAUGAAAAAUGUUCAAGUACCCUAACAAGUGUUGUUGUUUGAUGCUUAGGCAAGUGUCAAACUAUUGGUUGAAUGGUAAUAUGUUUAAUUAUAAGAUGCAUUGAAAUGGUAAGUACUCAAAUGAAGAUAUACUUGUGCUCAUAAAAGAAUAGUAAGUUUUAAGUUAUACAAUUUCUUAUGAAAUGGCUUAUUCUGUGAUUAAUUUGAAAAGGGUUAUGUUUGCAUGCACUAGCUUGUGAUAUGGUGGUAUAAUAUGCUAAUGACUUAUGUGUUAUGCAUAUGGAAUGGGUGUGAUAAGUAAAGAAACACAAAUGAGAAUAAGGAGAUUUGGAAGAGUAUAAAGUUGUUUAAAACUCUACUAUACUUGGGAUAGUAUGUAUAAGAGAUGCUAUGGAUUUACUCAUUUUGUGAGUUAUUGAAUACGGUUUCCUGAAUCGUGUGCCAUUAGUAAAUGUUUAUUCUUGAUAAAUGUAAAUUUCAUAACGAAAUGAAUUGAUAUGAUUAAAGUUUAUACGAGGUUACUAAGCAUUCAUUACUUAUUUAUUUGUUUUUCUUUACUUUUCAUAUUAUCAAAAGCUUGAUUGGGUUGGAAGCUUGUCGAAAUUAUAUCUCACUAUCCAUCGGUUCUAUCGGUACUUACGAAUGUUUUGAUUUUGGUUAUAAUGGCAUGUAUAGGUAUUUUGUAUAAUGUUGGCCUAUAUGUAAUUUGUUGAGAUUAGCAACUUAUUUUGGCUUGUUUUAUAUGCCUAAUUAUGGCUUGUUGAUAUGUAUAAUGUUGAUUGUAGGUUGACACAAAAUUGGGUGAUAAAUAUGGCUUGUAAAAUGACCUAUUUUCAUCCGCAUGGGCAUGUGUCUCAAUCGUGUGUGACACACGGCCAGGUGACACAGUCGUGUGUCCCCUGUAUCUUUUAAGAAUGUAAGUUAGCAUGCUUACACGUCCUAGCACACUGGCGUGUGAGUUAGCCGUGUGAUCCAAACAGUAUACUCACACGGGCACGGAUACAGGCUGAGACACGGCUAUGUGUCCCUAUUUCGAAUGCCCACCCGGCCUAAGACUCGAGCGUGUCUCUUGACUGUGUGAGUCACAUGGCCGUGUGACCCUUACAGUGUUGAAAAUUUUAAAUAUUUCUGAAAAAAUUUGAGUUUCUGAUUUAUUCUCGAUUUGUUUCUGAUGUGUAAUUUGGCCUUUGAGGGCUUGUAUACGGGACAAUAUGUAUGAUUUUGAUUGGUUUUUGACAUGAAUGCUAUAUGAUAUGAAAUGUUUGCAUUUUCUGUCUGUUUGAUUUAUAAACUCUGGUAAUGUUCUGUAACCCUAUUUCAGCAACGGAUUCGGGUUAGGGGUGUUACACAUAUCUCGUAACUCAAAUAUACAAUUACAAACUCAAUCAAACAUUCAUACUAUCAAACUAGCAAUUUUGCCAACAUGUCAAUAUUUUAAGGCUCGAAACAUAUCUGGUUUGACCACUCAAAAAAUCAAUAAUUUGGCUAUUAAGCUAAUCCAUUCAGCAAGCUAAUUUAACAAAUAUAACAUGAUAUUUAACAUUUCCAAACAAUUUUAUGAGUUUAGGACCCACACUUUGUUCUUUGCUUCCUCGUAGCACACUAGCGAAUCUUCCUAUUUUCCUUACUAAUUCCUUAAACAAACCUAAACCAAAAUUCAGUAUAAAUUCAAUAAAUUUACCAUUAAACCAGCCCCAAAAACCCACUUAUGAGUUCAAACCAAUCCUUGAAAUUAUAAUUGUUUUAUGAAUCUAAACUAUUUAGAAUCUUUACACUGUAUAGAUGCAAACCGUAAAUACAAUCAUUCUUCGCCUUUACGGAUGAUUUAAGGCAUUUAGGUCAGCACCUAAUUCAAUAAUAUACUGGAAAAUCAAUUCAUAACAUUUACCCAACAACUAAGUUGAAAUAACAAACUAGUUACCAUUAAUUGCACUUACGCUUCACGAUUUUUGGCUUUCGAAUGGCCAAUCGAUCAAGAACAUUUUUCCCCAAGCUAGUUGAGAGAAACGACAAUGACACUUUCUUGGCAAUGUUCGGGAUUGAUCUUGGGGUUCAAGAUUUCAGAUUUAGGGCUGAUUUAAAUGAAGAUAAAGAUCUUGGGGUUCAAGAUUUCAGAUUUAGGGCUGAUUUAAAUGAAGAUAAAUGGCAGCAAUAGAUUAAAAGAGAUGGUGUACAAUCUUGAUGUAAAAAGAAGAAGAAAGAGAUGGUAAAAUGGGAGGUGUAGGCAACGACAACAAUGGGAGAAAGAAAGAAAAUUGAAGAGAAAAGAGGAGAGGAAAAGGGUGAACAUCUAGGGUAGGGGAAAAUUGAAUUGAAGGCUAAAAAAUACAAUAAUAGUUGUAUUUAUACUUCGGUUUCAAGGGUAUGGAUGACACACACAUUAAAAAAAAAAGAGAUUUUGCAAAAUUUAAUCAUUUCGAAAGGGAAAGGAUUCGAACUUGGGACCUCAUUUAAUUUCCAUACUUUCUCAUAUUUCUUUUAACCAUUAGGCUUUUCCUCAUUCUUGAAAUAAUUUUGCAAUAUUUAUUUUAAAAAUAAGGCAUGUCACAUACUAGGGUUUAAGGUAAAAUUUUCAAAAUAAUAAAAAUGAUGCAAGAGAAAGGGAUUUGAAUUUAGGUUUCAAGAAAAAUUUCACUAACACUUAACCAACAAAAAAAUACCUCAUUUAUUUCCUAAAAAUGCAUAGAUAAUCUAAAAAAUUAAGGCAUGACCAUUCUCUCUCGAUUCACAAAUCUGAUUCUACUAACCCUCGAUUUUUGGGAUGCUAUAGGAACACUCUUGAAAAGAGGGCAUCUAGGAGCUUCAGGGCUUGGUUCUAACAACACUCAUGAAAAGAGGUUACAAACACAUGGUCAUAAUAGUAUCAAUGGAUACUGUGCAUUGAAUGGUGUUGCAAUCAUUGUGUGAGAUGUGUUUGAUUAAUAAAAUGGAAUAGUUGGUUUAAAGCUUAGUCUACCAUGCAAUUUUGAUUAGCUUUAACAUGUUUUCACUAAGUAAAGGUUCAAUUGUAAGACAAUUUUGUUUAUACAAUUGAUUUCCAAGAUUAUCAAAAUCUAGACUAUUUAGAAAAUUGAGGGAGAUUGUUGGAACAUUUUCUGUAACAUCCCGAAUUAUGGCCUGGUCGGAAUAGUGGUUUUGAGACCACAAAUCCGAAUUAGAAAUAAUUAUUUUAUGAUUAUUAUAAGGCCUAUGAUAUGUUUAUAUGAUGGUGUAAAAAUUUCAUGAAGAAAAUUUAUGUGAAAAGUGCUUAAUUUGACUUUAAGGACUAAAUUGAAUAAAUUGUAAAACUUGAGUUCUAGAAUCUUUAAGCAUGAAAUUGAAUUAAAUUAUUAAUUAGAGGUCCUUAAAUAGUAAUUAGACCAAGUUCUUAAAAUUUGGACAAAAAUGGGCUUGUGUGGUAAAAAUUUCAAAGAAAGGUUAAAAGGGCAAUUUGGUCAUUUUAUAAAUAAAUGAAUUAAAAAGGGAAAUUAAGCCAAAAUUACUCAUCUUCUUCCCCAUCCAGCCGAAUAUUAGAAGAAUCCAUGGCUAGGGUUUGUGUUCAAGCUUCCAAGCUCAUUCGUAAGUGAUUCUGAGCCCCGUUUUUAAUGUUCUAUGCAUUUUUGAAGUCCUCGUAACAUGAUCUACUCAUUUCUACCUAUAUUUUGAGCUAGGGUUCAUGUUUAAAAAUUUACCCAUGAAUGAUAUGCAUUUUUUUGAUGUCUAAUGGUAGAAAAUGAAUGUUGGGUGUUAAAUAAACGACUUUUGCUAAGUGAUUUUCGGUGAAAAUGCUUAAAAGGACUAAAUCGUAAAAGUUAUAAAUUUGUCAUAAAAGUGUGUUUUAGUGGAAAUUAUGGACUGCUAUAGUUAUGAAAAUGAUUCGGCUAGGCUUAAGUUCAAAGAAAUUGAAUGAAAAUCAUUUUACGAGCCUUGGGGAAAAAGUGUAAAUAUGAUAAAUUUUAGGGGCAAAAUGUAAUUUUUUCAUAAUAUGAUUUUUGAGUCUAUAUGAAUAAUGUGAGUCCUAAAUAAGCUAUAUUUGAAAUGUUAGAUCAAGAAAACCGAGAUUCAGGCUUAAAUAGGGAAAGUACGAGAUUGUGGACUAAAAUAAAAUAAUUAGUCGUGCUCGGAUUUAAGGUAAGUUCGUAUGAUGAAAUAAGCAUGUUGUUAAUGUUAUUGUUAUUGUUAUUUAUGGCUGAAAUCUAAAUUGGUAUGUUAAUUUAGUUGUGAUGAAUUAUAUGUUUGCGAUAGUAAGUGCAUAUGUAAAUAAUGUGGUGUUGUAGCAUAUUUUUAAUGUUUUGAUAUUAUGUGAUAAAUGUUUUCUUGUUAUUAUGAGUUAUAUGCUUAUUGGUUGUUAUGAAAGCAAAAAUGAUAUUAUGGUCGCUACAUACGACAUCACGAGCAAGUACGACAAAGUACGCCUUGUGCAAGUGAGGAAAAUCCCGUUUGAACCUUAGGAAUAGUCUAGGAUACAAGUAACAUGUCACUAGGAAUUUAGUAAUCCAAACUCAUUGAGUUGAUCCAAGUACGUGAUAUGUAUGAGGCAUCCAAGCUCGUUGAGUUGGUCUGAGUUCAUUAUGGAUGUGAGCAUCCUAGCUCGUUGAGUUGGUCCGAGUUUAUAAUGUAUGCGAUACAUGUGACAUCCGAGCUCGUUAAGUUGGUCCGAGUUCAUUAUGGAUGUGAUACAUUUAAUUGGGUUUCGGGCAAUGGUCUUAUGUGUCCUACCGGUGGCUAGGUAAUCCUUGAGUUGGUCAGAUAACUGAUAGCUUGUGUGAGCAGCCCGUGUAGCUACACCUUAACCGAUAGCUUAUAUGAGGAAGCCCAUGAGUGUAGCUCCUUUGUGAGCUUUACAUGUUAUGUGGUAGCUUUGGCUACGUAUGUAUAUGUGGCACUUAUGUGUGAAUUUCCAUGUAUCCAAUAGUAUUCUGAGUUUUCAAUGGGUAAUACAAUGGAUGAUGUAAGGAAAGUCCGGAGGAGGACAUGUUACAGAAGGUAUGGUUGUAUACUAUACUAUGAAUGGUACAGGUAUGUACACUAAGCUUAUGAUUAUUGAGACUUUGAAAUGUUGAGACAUCGGUGAGCUAAGAUGUAUGAAUUAUGAUUAUGAAUUUUGUUGCAAUAUCAUGCUAACUUACAUUGUGUAAUUUAACAUGGAAUCCAUGAAAUGGUGAGUUCAUGAUUAGUUGAAAAUGAACUUAUGAUAGUUAUCAUCAUAUUGCACUAAAAUAGUUUUAGACAGCAGCAAUAGUUUGAUUUUGAAAAUCCACCAAAAAUUGUGGAAAUCGAAUUAGAGACUAAAUAAUAUAUUAAAUUAAAGCUUAUUGAGUCUAGUUUCACAUAGAAAAAGGUGUAAGCAAAAGAAUCUCAUAUUAUGAGAUACUUGAAUUUUUGCGAGACAAAGUCAGAGUGAUUUCGGGCUCCCCUAUCUUAAAUUUGAAAAAUCACUAAAAAUUGUAAAAAAAUAAUCAUGGGUUAUAAUUUAUAUGAAUAAAUUCUUAAUGAGUCUACUUUCAAGAGAAAUAGAUGGGAACAACAUCCGGAUCCCGUACUAAGAGAUAAUCAAUUUUUAGUAAAGAAAGGUUGAAGCUGUCAAACAACAGAACAGGGGUAAAUUUAAAGAAUAAACUGGACUUUUUGGAUAGACCAAAAAUUAUGAAAAUUUUAUGGUAAGAAUAUAUAUGAGUAUAGUUUCAGGGAAAAUUAAUGGAUCUUAAUUUGGAGUUCCGUAGCUUAAUCUAUUAAUAAUUUAGUAACUAUGACUCGAGUAGAUAGCUUGACUGGAAUAUGAGCAAAUAGUGGAAUUGUGUGCAAUUUCACUUGUGUUACCAUGAGAACAUGUUGAUAAAAUUGCUUAUUAUUUUCGUAUGGACUUACUAAGCUGUAAAGCUUACUCCCUCCUUUCCAUUUCUUUAGUGUUGACAGGUUAGCUCAGUGUUGGAGAUCGUUAGAGGCAGCAUCACAUUAUCAAGCUAUCACUUUCGGGGUAUUGAUGAAUCUUAAAUGUCUUCAAGUGAGUGGCAUGUAUAGGGACUUAGUUAUUGAUAUGUGUUCUUAUGAUUUGGCCAAGAUGUUGGCUUAUAUUAGUACAUCGUAUAUAGCCAUGAGAUGUGGCUUAUGAUGGUCAUGGCUUGUAAGCCUAUUUAUCCAAGCUAUGUAUUGAUGCCUUGUAAUGUGGUCAUGUGAUUAUAUUUGUUUGAUAUGAAUGGUUAGUAUUAUGUUAUGUAUGCUUGAUGAAUGUCUUAUAACCAAAUGAAGUGGUUAUAAUCAAAAAAUAAAAGUGUGAUAUGGCAAUACGUCAAUAAUGCUUGAACAUGAAAUUGGUGUGGAAUGACUUAGACAAGUAUGGUAUAAGUGUAUAAGUGAUGAUCAAAAUGACAUGUUCAAUUGAUUAUGAAUUGGUGUGUUUAGACUUGGUAUAAAAUGAGUAAGCAAUACACAUGUAUGAUGACAUAUGAAUAUUACAAUUGAGUCUUAAUAGAGGGUGUUUAAUCUUUUACUUGAUGCUAUAUUAUACGUGUUUAUAAUGUAUUUAAGUAUGUGAGGUAUUAAUGGUAACAAAAGGCUUGGAAAAUAGCCUAAGUGCUAGCCACAUGGGCAGAGACACGACCAUGUGUCUCAACCGUAUGGAGGAUACAGCUUAGCACACGGGCGUGUGGCCCAGCCGUGUGGUUCAAUUUAUUUUGCUGACAUCAUAAACAGAGAGUUACACGGCCUAAGGAUACAGGUGUGUUGGAGACACACGGGCGUGUCCCUUUGUUCACAUGGGCAUGUGACCCUAUUUCAUGAAAAUUUUUCUAAGUUUUCCCAAAACUUUCCAAAGUUCUCGGUUUAGUCCCAAACGCCUUUAAUGCAUGUUUAGAGCCUCGGUAGUUCGUGUAAGGGACAUUAUGCAUGUGAUUGAAUGUUUUUAAUUUAAAUGAAAUUUUAUGGCCCGAUUUUACGAAAUUGUUUACGUUUAAGUCCAGUAACGCCUCGAACCCUAUCCUAGAGUCGGAUACGGGUAAGGGGUGUUACAUUUUCAAAAAAUAUAUAUAGUGUUCUAAUAGGUGCAAAUUAAAAGUUGCAAGUAACCAAAAGUUGUAACUAUUCAUAGUGAUAAGUUAUGUUUCUUGAAUACCAAAAGUUACGUCAUGUAAUUAUUAACAAAGAGUCAUAAUUAUUCAAGUAGACAUGUAUUGAAUAAUUAUAUUUAUUACUAAAAGAGGUGACUAACCAUUUGGAUAGUUAUGUCUCUAUGAAGAGACAUGGGAACUCCUAUAAAUAGGAAUCAAAAUUCCUUUGUUUGGUACACUAGAAACUGGUCAAAAGUUUCUUUUUAUUCUCUUUUAUCUUUUAAUAUUCUUAGAUUAUUCUUUAAGGAAUUACUGUAAAAGUUCUUUUUGGAAAUUCAUAUUCUUGCUAUGCUUUGCUCAAUGCUUAGUGGGUUGUUUCCAUCAAUGCAAAAUCUAACACCCCUAACCCACAUCCGUCGCCGAAAUUGUAAUAGCUAAGUUUAGACCCUAUUCGGAAUAGUAGUUUUGAGACCAGAAAUCUGAGUCAAAAAAAUAUUUAAUAUAUUUUUUUAUGUUUAUAGUAUGUGAAUUGAUAUGUGUGAAAAUUUCGUGUGAAAUUUUAUUGUUUGUGUGCACGAUUUAAGAAAAAUAACUUAAUCGCGUAAAAUGUAAAAGUUAGCUAUUAAAUGUGAAAGUGCCAAAUUGCUAUUGUUUUUAUAAUGUGGGGUCCUUAAAAGGAAAUUAGGCCAUUAAAGGGUAGCAUGGACGGUUUUGGGCUUGUAUUAUAUGGUUUACUAAUUAAAUUUAUAAGGUUAAAAUAAUAAUUAAUAUAUUAAUAUGUAUUAAAUAAAAUAAAACAAAAAAACCAUGCUUGUAGUUCAUCUUUUUGGCUGAACCUAAGAAGAAAAUAAAGCUUUUGAAAGCUUUAAACAUUCGACACAUUUGGAGCUUGAUUUAGAUCAAGAAAAGAGGAAAUCGGAUUUGGAUCGGGGGAAAUCUAAAGUUGUCGAAUAGUCGUCUUGGUUCAUUAGUCUUUGUCUGAGGUAAGUUCAUAAGUAAAUAAAUGUCGUUAACUUCGAUUGUAUAUAUUUUAAUAGUGCCGAAUUGAAUUAUUACUUGUGUAUAUGGAUAUGCCGAAUUGAAUUAAGCAUGGUAGCCAUAUUUACGAUCUUGAAUCGAUCGAGUUAUGAUCUCCGAAAGCCCCGUACGAACCUUAGGAAUAGUUAGGAUACAUAUGUCAUGACAUAGGAUUCCGAUAUGUGAUUUUGUGUAAGAUCACGUCGAGGACAUUGGCACCGAUUUGAGAUUUACGUGUAAGACCAUGUCUGGGACCUCAACAUCGUAUAUGAUUUCGUGUCAAUGGCAUCGAUAUGUGAUUACAUGUAAGACCACGUCUGGGACGUUGGCAUUGUACGAGCUUUUCGACUAUCCGAAUAUCCUUAUUGAUUUUGAAUGGUUCAACAGGCAAUAUCGAGUUAAGAUCGAAUAUGAAAAUGAGCUAAAUGGUUCAGGUACAUACAAAGUUAAAUGAUUAUUAAAGUAAGGUAUGUAAAGUACCGGUGAUAAAGAUAUGAAAUAUGCUUAAUACAAGGGUGAAUUAUAUAUGUUUUUUUGAGAUUGUUCAUAUUCGGCCUAGUUGAUUUGAAAUUUAAUGUUCAUUUGAUAAAUUAUUUUCUUAUGACUUACUCAACUAUUCAAGCUUACAGUGUGUGUUCGUUUAAUGUUUUAUAGAUUUUGGAAGUUGGUUACGAGCUCGGGGAUCGUCAAGGAAAUCCUUCACACUAUCGAUCGCUUUUAGGUAUUCUAUAAGUUUGAACUUUGAACUUAUGGCAUGUAUAGACUAGAUAGUAUGUUUGAACUUGAAGUAUGUAUUUAUAUUUAGCCAUGCAAAAAUGGCUUGAGCAUAAUGCCAAUGUUUGUGUUUAUUUGGUUGUGUUUUCAACUCAUUUUGGAGGUAUGUUUUAUGGUGAUUAUGCUUGUGGUGUUUGGUUUUGUGAUUUGGCAAUGAGAAAUGCUAGGUAUAAUAUACAAUCGACAUUAUGGUUAGUCCAUUUUAAAAAAAAAUGGAUAAUGGUAUAGAUUAAAUGUGGAUGAUUGUAUUAUUCGGCUUGACUAAAUAGGUAAGGUAAUGAGUUUGACAUAUUGAUAUGUUUUGUAUUUGUGAUAUUUGUUAGUUGAUUUGGUAAACGAGUAAUGCUCAUUAAAUGUAUAUUUGGCCAUGAUGGUAAGUUGUUUUAGAAAUGUUUUAUGGCAUGAUUUCUGUGAUGAAAAUGAUAGAUGAUAUGUGCAUGAGUAUUCAGUUAUGGUUUUAGGUUCAAGUUAACGGGUAUGCAAAAUUAGUUUUUGGCAUGUAUUGCUUGAGUAUAAGAGUUCUAAAAUGGCCCAAAUAGAUAUGGUCUUAUAUGCAUAAAUCUGUAAUAACAAAAGAUGUAUAUUUGGUUUAGUUUUAAAGUCCCUUUUAUAUGUAUCAUAUAUGUAUAAAUGAAUAUGUUUGGUAUGCCGUAUAUGUUAAAGUAAUAUGCUAGUAAACUAAGUAUACUAUGAACUUAUUAAUUGUAAUCGAAAAUGGUGAUUGGUAUAACAGUAAAAUGGAUGAGAAUUAAUGGAUAAGCUGAUGGUUACUUUGGUACAUAGUGAUGGCUAAUGUUAGACGAGAAUUUUGAUUAAAAUUUGGUUGGUGUUUUGGUUAUAAUUUUGUAAUUUAGGUAUGGUAAAUUGGCAUGUGAAUUAAGUGUACUCUUAGUUGUUAUUUGUUCUCAAAAUGGUUAAAAUUAAUAUGGUCAUAUGAGCAUGGUUUUGUGACUAGAAAAGAGGUAUGAUUAGUCUUAAAUCAUAUUUGUUUAAAAGAUUUAUAUGUAAAUAUAUGACCAUUACUAAUGUCGCUUGAUAUUGGACAUAAAGUUUUGUGAUAUGAUUUGUUUGGUCUAUUAAGUGCAUGUGUAUAAAUAUGAAUUAAAAUGUUUGAUUAUUAAUUAAGUAUUCAAAUACCAUUUUAUUAAUGAGCAUAUGAUUUGUGUUUAUAUAAAUAUAUUUUAAAAUAUGUUAUGUAUGGCUUUGAGGCAUGCUUAUUAAUGUGUGAAUAUGAUUAUAUGUUUGAUAGAAAUUUAGACAGAUUUGAAUUAUGAUUCGUAAUUGCAAUAUUAUUAAUAAUGUAUUUUUUUAAUAUUUAAUAUUUAAUAUUCAAUUAGUCUUAUGCUUUUUAUAUGCGAAUAAGACCUGUGUGAAUAUGUUAUUUCGGUAAUGCCUCUAAUUCCUACUCUGGCGACAGAUAAGGGUUAAGGGUGUUACAAGAAUAGGGUUACGAGACAUUACUGGACAUCUGCUUUUAUACAAUAUAACUUCUAAAUCCAAUAGUAAUCAUCCACUAAAUCAUAUUAGUUAAAUUUGCACAUAUGGAACACAUAACCAGAUAAAACUGAUCAUGCUUUAUUAUUUAUAAUACAUAUACAAACAAUGCUUCAAAUUUCAACUAUUUUAAUAUCAUUUAUAUAACCACAAAUUUAGAUUAACUAAUGUGCAACAAAGCCAUGUUACAAAUACUUAAUACAUAUAAAUAUUUGAACCACAUGACUCAAAUGUUAAUGACACUUACAUAUUUAAAACAUAUCCCAUCAUAUAUCAUUACACUUCAUACAUCGAAUGUAUGCCAAUAUCUAUUUCAUUAGUUGAAUAUCAAACAUAUCAUUUGAUAACUUCUGCACAAGCGCAUAAUAAAACCAUUCGAACCAUAUUACAUUAAUUGUUAUGCAAUCACCUAUGCGACUUUAGUACAUUACAAUAUGGCCGAACAUACUAAUGUGUGUAUAUAUAUAGUGUGCAAUUUACCCCCCCAAAAAAACAAAAACCAUUUUUAACAUUUGAACACAAAUAACAUUCCAAUGUACACCUAAUUCACAUGUUUAUUAAUAUACCUAAACUUCAUAAUUCAUCCUAUUAACUAAUCAUUAUUUCGGUCACACCAUUAUCAGUAUAAUAUGCAUAUAAAAAAGAACUAAAUAUCGUAAUCGAAUUUACAACCACACAUGAACGCAUACCUAUAUUAAUAUUAGCAUCAACUUGACACUUUUAACUAUCCAUUUAGCAACUGAACCUAUAAAGUCAAUAUACAAUCAUCCAUCACCCUAAUUAUACCACAUUUCAUACUUCCAAAAUGAGCUAACUAUUAAGCCUAUUAUACAUCAUACCUACCAUUUCUCAUUGCCGAAUCAUAUAACCAAACAUCACAAACAUAUAUACCAAGUAACAUACUUUCCAAAAUAAGUUUAAGUCAUAGUCAAAUACACCCAAGCUUUAAUAUUAUAAUCAAAGCAUUUUCGCAUGGCUAUAUAUACACAAAUUCAGAACCAAACAUAUUUAAACUAGUCUAUACAUGUCAUAUGUUUAAAGUUUCAAACUUCAAAAGUAUCGAAUGAUAGUCGAUAGUGUGACGAUUUCCUUGAUGAUCCCUGAGCUCGUAACCAGCUUUCAAAAAUCUAUAAAACAAUGAACAAGUACUCAUACAAUAAGCUUAAAUAGCUUAGUAGGUCAUAAGCAAAUAAUUCAUUUUAAUGACAUACAUAAUUCAAUUAAACUAGACAGAACCAAACAAACCUUAACCAAAUGUACAUAUAUCAUGCUUGCAAACUCAAACAUAUCUCAUAAACAUUAACAUUCUAAUAUCAAUGGCCGAAUGUACAUAUACCCAUAAACAUAUAUAAUUCUCACUUUUAUAAUGCAUAUUUCAUAUAUAUAUAUCACAAGUACACACUUACCUUAUAUUCCCAAUCAUUUAACUUAGCACAUACCUGACCUCUUAGCUUGAUUUCAUAUUCAAUCAUUACUCGAUAUUGGUCGUGGAACCAUUCAGAAUUAAUAAGGAUACUUAGAUAGUCGAAAAGCUCGUACAACGCCAACGUCCCAGACGUGGUCUUACAUGUAAUCACAUAUCGAUGCAAACGUCCCAGACGUGGUCUUACGCAAAAUAACAUAUUGGAAUCCUAUGUCCUGACAUAUGUAUCCUAACUAUUCUUAAGGUUCGUACGGGGCUUUCGGACAUCGUAAACCAAACAAUUCCAUCUCGUAUAUAUUUCUCCCAUGCUUAUACAAAUUCGGGUUGAAUAUAUAUAUAUACAAGUAAUAAUUCAAUUCGGCACAAAUAAUAUAUAUACAAUCGAAUUUAACAACAUUUAUUUACUUAUGAACUUACCUCGUACAGAUUUGGACAGAAAUAAACGGCUAUUCAACGAUUUUCAAUUUCCCCCGAUCUAAUCCCGUUUUCUUCGGUUCUGGAUCUAAUCACAUUUAAAUUUGACUUAUUAAAUCUCAAAUAUAUUCAAAUUAAUCCAUAAACACAAAUUUAGGGCAUUUUACAAUUUAGCUCUCAUAUUUUCACAUUUUGACAUUUAAGUCACUAAUUCACAAAAUCACAAAAUACACAUAAUUUCACAUUUUUCAUGCUUAGCCGAAUUUUCACGGAGUUCAUAUAAGCCUAAAUCUUUCAUUUAUUUCACAUUUUGACCCCUCAAUUUACAAAAUUCACAAUUUAAACCCAAAUAGGCAUUUGUACUAAAAAUCACUUAAUUAAUCAUGAAAAUCUAUUAACAUAUUGGAAUCCUAUGUUGACGCAUAUUGGAAUCCUAUGUCUUGACAUAUGUAUCCUAACUAUUCUUAAGGUUCGUACGGGGCUUUCGGACAUCGUAAACCAAACAAUUCCAUCUCGUAUAUAUUUCUCCCAUGCUUAUACAAAUUCAGGUUGAAUAUAUAUAUACAAGAAAUAAUUCAAUUCGGCACAAAUAAUAUAUAUACAAUCGAAUUUAACAACAUUUAUUUACUUAUGAACUUACCUCGUACAGAUUCGGACAGAAAUAAACGGCUAUUCAACGAUUUUCAAUUUCCCCCGAUCUAAUCCCGUUUUCUUCGGUUCUGGAUCUAAUCAUAUUUAAAUUUGACUUAUUCAAUCUCACAUAUAUUCAAAUUAAUCCAUAAACACAAAUUUAGGGCAUUUUACAAUUUAGCUCUCAUAUUUUCACAUUUUGACAUUUAAGUCACUAAUUCACAAAAUCACAAAAUACACAUAAUUUCACAUUUUUCAUGCUUAGCCGAAUUUUCAUGGAGUUCAUAUAAGCCCAAAUCUUUCAUUUAUUUCACAUUUUGACCCCUCAAUUUACAAAAUUCACAAUUUAAUCCCAAAUAGGCAUUUUUACUAAAAAUCACUUAAUUAAACAUGAAAAUCUAUUAACAAAUAUUUAUUUUUCAUCAUCAAACACAAAAAUCAUCAAGAUUUCAACAAUGAAAAAACACAAAAUCAUCAUCAAAUUCAAAAAUUCAAGCAGAGGCUAGCUAGUAUUUAAAGCAACGAUCUCAAAAAUGUAAAAAUUAUCAAAAACCGAGCAAAGAACAUACGUAAAUCAAGUUUCAAGAGUGCCGAAUAUUGAAAGCUCAAGAACCCUAUUCUCUUUUCUAAUUUUCGGUGAGAAGAUGAUGAAUAAUGGCUUUCAUUUCUUUUGUUUUAAUUUUAUUAACUCAUAUUUCUAAUUUAUAAAAUUAACCUUGGUUAAAACAUUAUAAAAUCACAUAUAUUAAGUCCAUUACCGUCCAAUAACCUUCAUAGUGCCCUAAUUUCAUUUUAAGGACUUUAAAAUUAAUAAACCAUAGCAAAUAAGUACUUUAACAAAUAGAAAGCCACUUUUGCAUUUUACGCGAUUAAGUCCUUUUUAUUAAAUCGAGCACACAAAUGAUAAAAUUUUCACACGAAACUUUCACACAUAUCAAUUCACAUAUUAUAAACACCAAAAAUAAUUUUUAAAAUAUUUUUCUGACUCAAAUUUGUGGUCCCAAAACCAUUAUUCCGAUUAGGGUCUAAACCGGACUGUUACAACUCUCCCCCCUUAGGGUUUUUCAUCCCAGAAAAUCUUAUCAGCGAAUAGGUUUGGGUAACGUUCUCUCAUAGCAUCCUCAAGCUCCCACGUAGCUUUUUCAAUCCCGUGCCGAUGCCAUAAGGCUUUCACUAAAGAGAUUUUCUUAUUUCUCAAUUCUUUAACUUUGCGAUCUAAAAUUUGGAUUGGUUCUUCUUCAUAUGUCAUAUCGGAUCGAAUUUCAAUCUCAAAUGAGGAAAUCACAUGCAAUGGAUCGGAUCGAUAUCGUCGAAGCAUCAAAACAUGGAAUACGUUAUCGAUCUUUUCUAACUCAGGUGGCAACAACAGUCUGUAAGCAACGACCCGAUACGCUCAAUAAUCUCAUACGGCCCAAUAAAUGUCGGACUCAAUUUGACUUUACUACCGAAUCAGAGUAUUUUCUUCCAUAGUGAGACUUUCAGAAAUACUUUGUCUCCAAUCUGAUACUAAAUAUCUUUUCGUUUCAAGUCUACAUAGGAUUUCUGACUAUCUGACGCUGCUUUUAGACUAUCGUGAAUCACUUUCACUUUUUGUUCAGUUUCUUUGAUCAAAUCAACCCGUAUCUUAUUCUCACUGAGCUCAGUCCAAUACAAAGGUGUUCAGAAUUUGCGACCGUACAAAGCUUCGUAAGGUGCCAUUUUGAUACUUGAUUGAAAGCUAUUAUUAUACGCAAAUUCAAUUAAUGACAAGUAUCGUUCCCACGUACCUUCGAACUCAAGAAUGCAACAUCUCAACACAUUCUCAAGUAUCUGAAUAAUUCACUCUGAUUAACCAUCUAUUUGUGGAUGAAAAGUAGUACUAAAAUGUAGCUUCGUACCUAAUGCAUCUUACAGCUUCUUCCAAAACCACAAUGUAAACCUCGAAUCUCUAUCUGAAAUGAUAGAAAUAGGUACUCUGUGCAAUCUCACAAUCUGAGAAAUGUACAACUCAACAAUCUUAUUAAGUGAAUAAUCUGUGUGAAUCGGAAUGAAAUGAGCUGAUUUAGUCAAUUUAUCAACAACAACCCAUAUUGCAUCUUUUUUACUCGGUGACAGAGGCAAACCCGAUACAGAAUCCAUCUUGAUUCUUUCCCAUUUCUAUGCGGGAAUCAUAAUCGACUUAAGUAACCCAGACAGAACGUGAUGCUCAGCUUUAACUUGCUACAAAUUAAGCAUUUCGAAACAAAUUCUGAGAUAUCUCGUUUCAUACCAUGCCACCAAUAAAGUUGUUUCAGAUCAUUAUACAUUUUAGUACUACCUGAAUGAACAGAUAACCGACUGCUAUGAGCUUCAUUUAAAAUCAUUUGAAUCAAUUUUGAAUUUCUUGAAACACAUAUUCGGCCUUUGAAUCUCAAACAACCCUCAACAUUAACUCAAAAUUCUGAAUCAGUAUUCAAAUCACAUUGAGCCCGUUUUGCUAACAAUUCAUUAUCGACUUUCUGAGCUUCACAAAUCUGCUGCAUAAAUAAUGGUCUUGCUUUCAACUCAGCUAUAAUCGAGCCAUCAUCAGAUAGAGCCAUAUGUGCAUUCAUCGCACGCAGAGUAACCAGAGAUUUUCAACUUAGAGCAUUAGCAACAAUAUUGGCCUUUCUCGGACGGUAAUCAAUUACAAACUCAUAAUCUUUUAACAACUCUAACCAUCUUUGUUUUCGUAGAUUCAAAUCUUUCUGAGUCAUCAAAUAUUUUAAGCUUUUGUGAUUAGAAUAAAUGUGACAUUUUUCAUCGAACAGAUAGUAAUGCCAAAUCUUCAACGCAAACACAAUAGUUGUCAAUUCCAAAUCGUGCGUCAGAUAGUUCUUUUCGUGUGGCUUUAACUGUCUCGAGGCAUAAGCUAUGACUUUGCCUUCCUACAUCAAAACACAUCCCAAUCCAUUCAAUGAUGCAUCACUAAAAAUUACAAAUUUUUUACCCGAUUCUGGCUAAACUAGCACUGGAACUUCGAUCAAAAAAGCUUUCAAUUGAUCAAAAAUUUUCUAGCACUUUUCUGACCACUCGAACUUAACAUAUUUCUGAAGUAGUCUUGUUAUCGGGGUUGCAAUGGUUGAGAAGCCUUUUACGAAUCUUCAGUAAUAACCGGCGAGUCCUAGAAAGCUUCAGACUUCAGAUACAUUUCUCAGAAGCUUCCAAUCUCAUAUGGCCAAAAUCUUGCUCGGAUCAACUCGAAUACCCGAUGUUGACACAAUAUGUCCCCAUAAACUGACUUCACGUAACCAGAACACAUAUUUACUGAACUUCGCAUACAACUAUUUAUCUCGCGCAGUCUGUAGCACAAUUCUUAGAUGUUCGACGUGCUCGAAUUUAUCCCGGGAAUAGAUCAAAAUGUCAUUUAUAAACACAACCACAAAACGAUCCAAAUACUAUCUUAAGAUCCGAUUCAUUAAAUCCAUAAAAAUAGUAGGUGCAUUAGUAAGUCUGAAAGGCAUAACUAGAAACUCAUAGUGUCCGUACCUCAUUUGAAAAGUAGUUUUCGACACAUCGGAGUCUUUAAAUCAUAGCUGAUAGUAACCUAAUCUCAAAUCUAACUUUGAAAACACUGUAGCCCCUUUCAACUGAUCAAACAAGUUGUCAAUUCAUGGCAAAGGAUAUUUAUUCUUUAUAGUUACCUUAUUGAGCUGUCGGUAGUCGAUGCACAUUCUCAUUGUUCCGUCUUUCUUUUUCAUAAACAAAAUCGGUGCACCCCAAGGAGAAAAACUUGAUCGCACGAAGCCUCUAUCAGUCAAUUCUUUCAACUGAGCUUUCAACUCUUUUAAUUCGGUCAGUACCAUUCUAUAUGGAGCUAUCAAAAUCGGAGUUGUCCCUGGCACUAGCUCAAACUCUACCUCUUGGAUUAGUGGCAAACCUGGUAAUUCUUCAGGAAACACAUUCGAAUAUUCGCACACUACUGGUAGUAAUUCAAUAUUCUUUUUAGUCACUUUAGAAUCAAGCACAUAGGCAAAGUAAGCUUCACAACACUUUCUCACAUAUUUUUGAGCUAACAUCGAAGAUAUCACUGCCGAUAAACCAUUCAGAUCAUUAGAGUCAAUCCAAAUAAUCUCAUCAUUUUGGCAUCGCCAAUCAAUAGUCUUUCGUUUGCAGUUCACAAUAGCAUCGUGCAAUGUUAACCAUUCCAUACCCAGAAUUAUAUCAAACUCGUCGAAUGGUAACAACAUCAAAUUAGCCGAAAAACAUGAAUAUCGAAUCAUUAACGGACAAUUCUUACAUACUUUAUCAAUCAAGACACACUGACCUAAGGGGUUCGUUACUCUAAUCACAAAUUCAGUAGACUCUACAGGCAAAGUCUUACUGGAUACUAAAGUCUCACAUACAUAAGAAUAAGUCAAUCCAUGAUCUAUCAAUGCAAUAACACUAGUAUCAUAGAGAGUGAAAGUACCAGUAAUAACAUCUGGAGACGAAGCUUCUUCACGAGCACGGAUAGCAUAAGCUCUAGCAGGUGCGCGAGCCUCAAAUCUAACAGCUGUGUCUUUAGUUCCCCUCUGACUGCCUGUAACAACCCAAAAUUUAUGAUUAAUGAAAAGUGUAUUAUCAGGUCUCUGUUUUUGGAAAACAGACUCGUAAAUAUUUAUUAAAAAUAUUUACGAAGUUAAUUGAGUGGUUAAUUAGAGUUUAGUUAGGUGAAUUAGCUUAAAUUAAGGUUAAUUAGGUAUAAGGAUUAAAUUAAAUAAAGUGUGAAAGUUUGAUUAUAGAAUAGAGGACAUUCAAGGGACAAAAUGAGCAAUUAAGCCAUGAGUGAUAAAUGUGUGGUAAUAGUGAAAUACAUGUGGAAUAUUUAUAUACAUAUAUUACUGUCGUAACCAUUUUUUGAAAAAACGGGAAUCGACUUAUAUUUUGAAAAUGAAAACGAGAAAAAGGGAGUCGCCACCGACCCUUUUUUAUGAGGUGUGAUCGGGUCACCUUGUAAAAGUGGUUUUUUUAAUAAAUAGUUUGAUUUAUUUAAACAACGAUUUUGGUCUACGCAAAUCAAGAAAAAAGUUUGGGAUUCGGUUACGCACGAGGAAGGAUUAGCACCCUCGAUACGCCCAAAAUUGGUACCUAGUUGAUUAAUUAGUGUCUUAGUGUCGAAGAUUGAAAACUUGAAAGACUUUUGAAAUACGAUCCUUCUUUAUAAAAAGCUCAAGUGUUAAAGACCUUCUCGUCUCAAAAUAUGAAAUGUCACAUCCAGUAAGUUAGGAUACAACAUCUUGAAUUUUCGAGAGCGAGCUUGCCUUUUAUAUAAAAUUUGCGUAUUUUAAUUUAUUAAAAGGGUAUUCGAUUAUUUAGAGUAAACGAGAGAAAUCGAAACCCAGUAAGUUAGGGCACGUUUUCUCAAAUUCUCAAACACUGAAUAUCACCUUUAUUUUAAAACAAAUUCUUAUUUCGAGGUGACAAAAUGUCAUACCCGGUAAGUUAGGGCAUAACACCUCGUUUCUCCGAGAAUAAGCAUUUUUCAAAACUCGUAUUGUGAUUUUUUUAAGAAUAUUCCGUUAUUUAGGUAGAAAGAAGAAUCGAAACCUAGUAAGUUAGGGCACGAUCUCGAAUUACCAAAUACGGAAUAUUACUUUUAUGAAAGAAUUAUUUUAAGGUAUCGAAAAGAACAUGAUGUGAUUUAUAGUAAAAUAUAAAAGCAAAUUAUGGUAUUAAUAAUAACAUAUAAAAAUAGGUGACAAUGAUGAGCAAUUAUAAAAAAGGAUAACAUAAGAGCAAGGUUAGUAACAUGUAAAUAUAAACAAAUGCGUGAGGAAAAUGAAAUGAUCGAGCACAUAAGUAAUUUAAUAAAUAAAUAAAAGUGAAUAAAACAUGGCAAAAUAAAAAUGGCAAUGAUAACGAAAAUGAUAAUUAUAAUGAUAAUUUAAAUAAUAAUAGCAUAAAAUGAUAAUAAUAUGUAUGGUAUUAAAAUAUAUACAUAAUAUUAAAGAUAUAUACAUAAUAUAUACAUAAAAAAUAUAAUAUUAAAAAUAUAUAUAUACAUGAUAUAUAUGAAAUAUAUACAUAAUGUAGUUAUUAAAAAAUAUAUACACAAUAUAGUAUUAAGAAUAUACACAACAUGUAUGGUAUUAAAAAUAUAGUAUUAAAAAACAUAAUACAUAAAAAUGUUAAUGCUAAUAAUAGUAAUAGCAAAAUACUAAUAAAUAAUAGAUAUAGUAUAAUAAUGAAAAUAUAAAUAGAUAAGAAAUAUAAUAGAUGAGUAAUAAGAAGAAGAAAAUAUAAUAAUAGUCAUAAUACAAUGGUAGUAGUAAUUAAAAAAAUGAUGAUAAUAAUAUUAAAGUGAAGUAAAUAAUAAUACUAUAUAUAAAUAUAUAUAUACGUAUGUAAUAAAAAUACACACUUCUAUAUAAUAAUAAUAAUAAUAAUAAUAUAGAAAUGUAAAAAGCAAAUAUAAUAAGAAUAUUAAAUUAAAGUAAUAAAGAAAAUAAUACGAUAUGUAAGUAUAUAUAUAUAAAGAUAUACACUAAUAUAUAAUAAUAGUAAUAAUAAUAAAUAUAAUAAUAGUAAUAAUGAUAAUAAUACGAAAAUAAUAUAACAAAUUGAAUAAGUAUAGAAAGGAAAUAUAAUUUUAAUGGCAAUAAUAAUAGUACAAUAAUAACAAAGUAGUAGAAAAAAUAACUAUAAUAGUAAAAUAUAAUAAAUAGUAGUAAAAGAAAAUAAUAAAAUUAUCUAAUUUAAUAAUAAAGGAGCUAAAUAACUAAACUAGGGACUAAAUUGAGUGUAGAACGAAAGUUCAGGGCCAAUUUAAAAUAAAAAUAAAAAGAGAAGGCUGAAGAAAACACGCGAGACAAAUGGAGGGACCAAUUCUGCUAUUAUACCCUAUCCCUAAAACGAUGCCGUUCCAUCAACUAUCCCUCAAAUAGUUAGAGCACGAAAUUAAAAAAGAUUAAAAUUACAAGGCAGAAUUAAGAAAUAAAAAAACUGGAUUAAAACACGACAGAAAUGCGGAAGGACCGCGCAAGCAAUUAUCCCAGUUGGUAGAAACACGCGAAUCCUCAGGCGUCGGGUCGGGUCACGCGCGGGUCAAGCGAAACGACACCGUUUUGGCGUUCAGACCCUUAGGCACAAAACGGUGCCGUUUUACCCUGUUAUAAAAGCCAAGUUUCUUUUAAAAAUUUUCAUUUUUCAUUCUUUCCAAAAAAAAUUUGAAGCUUCUCUCAUUUUUCCUUUCUCUGCAGCAGGUCUCCAUGGCCGGACCAGUCAUCGUCUGCUGCGCCGGCGCCGUCACCGGCUUUCGAAAAAGGUGUAUUUUUUGAUUUUUUUUUUAUUUUUUAUAUUAUACUCAAUAUAUAUGUAUUGUUUUAAUAGAAAUGGGGAUAAUAUAUGUAAAUAAAUUCAAAAAAAAAAGAAAAUAAACCUUAGAUUCUGUUGUUUUUGGUUUUCCGGUCUCUGAUAUGGGGCUAUUCCCUGCUUUUGAUGUUGCUAAAGUCUCUGUUUUUACUUGAAAUCGAAUGUUGUUUGCUUUUAUUUUCACAAAAAAAAAUGCCGAAUCUACAAAGGCUUUAGAUUUGGCUUUAAAUAGUCGUUUACAUGCCAUUUGCUUUCUGUCUACUCUCGUUUAAUGCUUGCAGGUGAAUGACGGUGCAACUUGGAGGAUGGUGGAGCGGUGCUGCAGACGUCGAUGGUGGAUGGGACAGGGGUCAGGGGCGGCCAGCAGCUGCUUAGGCUAGGGUUUUAGUUCUUUUUUUUUGUUUUGGUAUUUGAGUUGGGCUUCUGUUGGGUUUGGGGUCCUGUUAGGUUUGGGCUUUGGGUUAUUUUAAUUUUGGGCCCAAAAUUGGGUUGUACAAUUAGUAAUUAUUAUUUUUUACUUAUUAUUUAAGUAAAUAUUAUUAUAUUAAGAUUAUUUUAUAUUAAAUAAAUAAGUCAAGUUAAUACAAUUGCAUGGUAAUAAAUAUGUACAAAUGUAAUAAAUACAUACAUAAUUUGUAAUAUAAAUAUACAUUUACUUAGUAUUUAAGCAUAAAUAAAUAUAUUAUAUUAUAUUAUAUUAUAUUAUAUUAUAUUAUAAUAUAAUAGUUUAAUAAUAAAAAGAAAGAAAUAAAGAAAAAAAAAAGAGACUAAAGAACAGAAUAGCAAAAACGUAGUAGGGGAAAGAAAAAAGGGAAAGAAAAAGAAGGAAAAAUUAGGGUUUUAGAGUUUGAAGCUUAAGUGGUAAGUCAAUUUAGUCUCUUUUCUUGUAAUUUUGAUGUUUAUGGAAUCCUAGAGAUAAAUACUACUUGUUUUAAGUGGAAAUUUUGAAACUUAUUAGAUUUCUAGAUAUAGUUUAUGUUGAACAAAAUGAUGAAUUAAGGGUUUAAUUGAUAGAAUUUUUAGUUAGAAUUGAUUAAAGGAUUAAAUUGUAAAAGAAGUUAUUAGUUUUACAUAGUAGGGACUAAAUUGUAAGAAUUUUGAAAUUAGGGUUUUAUGAUGAAAUUUAGAUAAUAUGUCUAAGUUUGGUUGAAAAUUGAGUAGAAACAAAGUAUGAAUUGAGAUAGAAAAGUAAGUGAACUUAGGUAAGAUUAAAAUUGAAAUUAAAGUAGAAAUUGAAUAGAAAUUGCAUAAGAAAUUUAAAUAUUAAAUGUAAAUUAGUAUUAUAUUAAUGAUUAUGAAAAUUGUUUUAAUUUUCGUAGUUAACGUUGUACCGGAAAACCUCGACUAAGAAAGGAAAAGACAAAGUUAACGAGGGUUAGCUCGAAAAUUACGGUUUGUAUUUCUAUAAUCCGAACUUAAUAUUUAAUUGUUGAAAUUAUUAUUUAAUAUGUAUGGUAAAUGCAUUGAGAUGAUUAUUUGGAAUUGGAAUGAACCUUGGUUGAAAUUGAAAAGUGAAUUUAAUUAUUAAUUGUUGUAUUUUGAUUAAAUGUUAUGAUAAGUAAUUAAGGUGAGAAUUAUUUGGAUUAUGUUUUACAAUUGAAAUGGAUUAAUUUGGUAUGUGAUAAAUUUAUUGAAUUUAUAUGGAUAUAUGUGAUUGAUGUGGAAAUUUGAAUAUUGAAAGUAUGUUAUAUUGAAAAUUAAAUUGAUUGAGAAUGUAAUGAAAUAAAUAUGAAUAGGUGUUUAUUGUGAAAUUUGAGUGUAUGUUAAUGAAAAGUAAAGUGAAUUGUAUUGAAUUAUUAAUUUAUGUGAUUAAAUUGAAAUGUGUAUUGAUUGAAUAUUGAAAAUUUAUUAAAACCCUAUUAAUAGUAUCGAGCUAAGUCAGAUAUAAUUGGCAUGCCAUAGGAUUGGAAGUGUUUAGGGAUACUUUGACCUUUAGUCGAUGAGGCACUAUAAGUGUCGUACUAUAACUUCAACUUCGAGUCGAUGAGGCACCAUGUGUGUCGUACUGUUACUGUUACUUCGGUUUAAUCCAAUGAGGUACUGAGUACCGUACUGUUACUGUUUACUUUAGCAAAGCCGAUGAGGCACUGAGUACCAUACUGGUGUGUUGGUUGGAUCUGUGUAUCUGUUAAUGUCCGAGUCAUGUUAAUAGAGGCGAAUAAAGGUACUGAAUGACUGACUGUUACUGAAUGAUUGAUUGUUACUGAAUAACUGAUUGCUACUGAAUAAUUGAUUGUUACUGAAUGAUACUGAUAAAUUGAUUGAUAUUGAAAAACACUGACUGAUAUUGAGCUUGGAAUAAAACAAUUACUGAUUGAAAUAUGAAUUGUUGAAUAUUAUUUAUUGACAUUGAAUAGUGAACUGAAACAUGAUUGAAACACAUGAAUUUAUGUAACUCUAAAAGGGAAUAAGUGAAUAAUAUUAUUGUUCAAGUGAAUUGUGAGCAUAUUGUGGAAAAUUAUACGGGUUAGUAGAUGAAAGAAUUGAAUGAGUUAUAAAGGACUUAUCUAUGAAUUGAACAAUUAUAUAAUUGUGAUUGUUAUAUGAUUUUAAAGUAAAUGUUAUAUUUUCAUAUUAUUAAGUGUUCAGAUUAUAGAAAUACCACUGAUUUCAUACUCAGCGUAUAGUUUGUUUCCGUGCACAGGAUAAGUUAAAGUCAGAUCUUUGGAUCAACAUCCCAGGCUAAUCCCGAACUCUAAGUGGAAAGGUAUAUUAUUUAUUAGUAAUGGCAUGUACUUAGGAUAUCAUAUUCAUAUGAGUGUCAUUUUGCGUUAUGAAAGUAAAGGUGAAAUAAUUAAAUUUUAGAUUUAACAAUUAUAUAUGGUAGAAAUUGGCUUAAUUAGUACGAAUUUGAACUGUUUGAAAAUGUAUGUGAAAUACUUAAAAAGAUUUAUCAUAUAGGCACAUAAAAUAUCUAAUUUGACAUGUUUUUGAGUAGGUUUGAAUGUGAUUUAAAGUGAUUGAACUGUAUUGACUGGUAAUGCUCCGUAAUCCUAUUCCAGGGAUGGAUAAGGGUUAAGGGGUGUUACACUGCCACUCACAUUACCCGUGUUUCUGGGUGGUCUACCUUGAGCUGACAUGUUACUCGGUCUCAUAUUCUACACUGUGUUUUGUUCAGCUAACUCAGGGCAUUCACGAAUGAAGUGAUCCAUCAAUCCAUAUUUAAAGCAAGCCCGAUCAUUCAAUCCACAAUUAUCGGGAUGUUGUUUACAGCAGUGUUUGCACUUAGGUUGGUUCAGUCGGAUUUUACCAACACUAGCUACUGAGGUAGCUCUCGAACUCACAGGUGGUUUGUCUCAAUCAUGUCUAGAAUAACCCACAGUAGCCUUUGAACGGCUAAAGUCAUCUCAGAAUUUCUUUGUUGCCGACUGAAAUGACUUACUUGAUGAUCUCUUUCGUGAAUUCUAGCUUCAAAGUCAGCCUUUCUUUUCUCUUUUCCGAGCUCUUCAGCGUUGCAUGCUCGCUCAACUAGUACCAUGAACUCUUUUAUUUCAAGAAUCCCGACUAACAACUUAAUAUCUUCAUUCAAACUGUCUUCAAAUCUUUUACACAUUAUUGCUUUGGUUGAUACACAUUCUCGAGCAUAUCUGCUGAGUCUCACAAAUUGCUGUUCAUAUUCUAUAACUGUCAUGCGACCCUAUUUUAACUCGAGGAAUUCUUUUCAUUUUUAAUCUAUAAAUCUCUAACUGAUAUAUUUCUUCCGAAAUUCAGUUUGAAAGAACUCCCAGGUAACCCGCUAUUUCGGAACUACUGAUACUAGUGUAUUUCACCAGUGAUACGCAAAAUCUCGAAGCAAAUGUACAACACAUUUAAUACAUUCGUCAGGAGUACAGGAUAGCUCAUCAAACACACAGAUAGUAUUAUCAAGCCAGAAUUCAGCUAGCUUAACAUCGUCAUCAACGGUGGCUCUGAGUUAUUUAGCCCCGCAUUUUUUGAUUUUAUCAACAGGGGGCUUAUUUAAUCUCAUAGAAUCAAUAAAUUGAGGUAUUACAGGUAUCUGAGGAGGAUUAGGCGGAGGUGGAGGUUGUUGAACAGCUAGAUUUGUAUGGAUAUAUUGUGUGAACCAUUCGUUCAUCAUUUGAAAGAAGGCUUGUUUAGCCUCUCCCUCGUGGCUACUCGUAACAGGUCUAGAAUCAGGCGACGCUAUCCCUUGAGCGAGAGCAGGCGCAUUACUUUCCAUGUCAUCUGCUACGGCUCGAUCGGGAUCCAUUUAGUAUACAAAAACACAUUUUAACUGUCAGGAAUCAUCACACUAUCACAGUAUAUCAUAUAUGGCAUGUAUAGCUAGACUCACACGGGUACGUUAGUCCUAGAACUGACUAAACCGUAGCUCUGAUACCAAUAAAAUGCAACACCCCUAACCCACAUCUAUUGCCGAAAUAGGGUUACAAGACAUUACCGGACAUCUAGUUCUAUACAAAAUAACUUCUAACUCCAAUAGUAAUCAUCCACUAAAUCAUAUUAGUUAAAUUUGUACAUAUGGAACACAUAACUAGAUAAAACUGAUCAUGCUUUAUUAUUUAUAAUACAUAUACAAACAAUGCUUCAAAUUUCAACUAUAUUAAUAUCAUUUAUAUAACCACAAAUUUGGAUUAACUAAUGUGCAACAAAGCCAUGUUACAAAUACUUAAUACAUAUAAAUAUUCGAACCACAUGACUCAAAUAUUAAUGGCACUUAUAUAUUUAAAACAUAUCCUAUCAUAUAUCAUUACACUUCAUACAUCGAACAUAUGCCAAUAUCUAUUUCAUUAGUUGAAUAUCAAAGAUAUCAUUUGAUAACUUUUGCACAAGCACAUAAUAAAACCAUUCGAACCAUAUUACAUUAAUUAUUAUGCAAUCACAUAUGCAACUUUAGUAUAUUACAACAUGGCCGAACAUACUAAUGAUGCGUAUAUAUAUAGUGCGCAAUUUACGCCUAAAAAAAAACAAACAAAAGCCAUAUUUAACAUUUGAACACAAAUAAUAUUCCAAUGUACACCUAAUUCACAUCUAUAUUAAUAUACCUAAACUUCAUAUUUCAUCCUAUUAACUAAUCAUUAUUUCGGUCACACCAUUACCAAUAUCAUAUGAAUAUAAAAAAGAACUAAAUAUAGUAAUCGAAUUUACAACCACUGUAGCACCCCAAACCCGGCCCAGACGUUAUGGCCGGAUCCGACAUGCCACAUCGAAGCGUCCAAAACAUUUUAUAUUGUUGAUCCAGAAAAACCUACUUAGUGUUUUAAAAGAUAAUUUCAUUAUAGGUUAAAGUGAACGGAAGCUGUGCACCAGGUAGGAAACCGAAAAAGAGGAGGUGAGUCUAUCGGACUACUUAAGUACCAAGCUCCCUUCGGAUCCAAUCCUAGACAUGCACACCGCCAUUGCCACACCUUAACGUCAUGUAUAUUUCUAGGAAACCGAUUUGAUUAAGUCAUUUUUAGGAAAAGUGAUUAAUUUUGGAAAAUACUUUCAUUGCGGAAGCUUUGCUUGUUGUCGUGUUAUUUUGAAAUCAAUUGUUUUUUUUUUUUGAAAACGCGCCCUAAAGCCCUAAAGCUAUCCAAUUUCAACAGUUAAAAUAAGUAAUACCUAUCUUAGUAAUACAUAUUAAAACCAUCAAAAAUAAUUAAGCGGCCUUAUUACAUUUAAAAACCCAAACCUCAACGUAAAUAAUAGGAUGUCCAGUUCACCAGGAGAAAAGCAAACUUUCAGAAUGGGUGGCCACUCCGAAUUCCCUCACAGCUCCAAGCCCACUAUGGUUGGGGAUUUCCUGCGUGGAUGAAAAUAAAAGGGGUGAGUUUGGGGAAACUCAGUGUGUAAGGAAAACCCAUUCAAAGCCCAAGUCAGCUCAAGCCUAUUGGGCCUAAGCCCAUUCAGGUAAAAGUGGUACUGGACCAAAGCCCUUUUCAGAUUACAAUAAACUGGGCCUUAGCCCCUUAUUCAGAUAAUAGUAUGGCCCAGAUGCCCAUUUUAAAAUACAUGCAACAUCAAUAACAUAUGUAAGCCCAUUUGGGGAGACUACUCAACCCACCAACCACUACACUCCACCCGUACCAGCCCUACACUCCAUGUGGGGAAUAGCUCAACCCACCCAGCCCAACACUCCACAGUUGCAGCCUUGCUGCUCAGUUAACAGUAAAUUGAGGCAAAGCCUCCAGUACGUGGACAAGCCACUUUCAGUACUUCCUCCGUCAAUAUCCCAAUCCCAUGCAUCAGAUAAUAACAACAUGGCAUGCAGUAAAUAACAACAGUCAAACAUGCAUUUAAGUCAAUUUAACCCUAGGGGUAUUUCGAUAAUUUAUCUACUAGGGGUAAAACUAUAAAUUUUCCACUUUUUAAAGGUAUUUCAGUAAUUUAUCUAUUUUAGGGUUUUUCAUGCAUAUUCCUACUUUUCACGUACUAACAGAAUCACGUACCGAGGGUUCUUACCGAAUUGGGCCCGUUGGCCCAUCAUUCCAAUUUUGGCCCAUUAAGCCCAAAAAUAUCGAGGGCACAGAAAUCAUGCACUUUGCAGUCCAAAUUUUGCAGCUUACCAAAAACAUUAAUCGAUUUACCUCACGAGCAUUCGCACACUCGUAAAUCUACAAAAUACCGGUUUUUGGCAUUUUGGCUUUUCGACUUUUGCAGAUCCAGACUAAGAAAAAGGGUGUUAGUUACACACCUAUUUGCGACGAUAUGCUGACGAGAUCCACACACGAACUGCCUACAAUUGGAUUACUAACACGUUAAUCUAACUAUUCAAAUACGAACUACGUAUUAACCCCUUACAAUAUUUGGCCAACCACACCUACAUAUGAUAGUAAGCUUAUAAGAAAUCAAUAAGCAACUCAUUAACAAAUUUUUGUCAAUGUUUACCACAUAAUCAUAAUUUCACUGCAAGCUGUCUUCCUGAGAAACAGUUACUAAAUCAUUUAUAACUGGAGCUACGAAACUCCAAAUCAAGUGCCGUUAAUUUUCCCUGAAAAUAAACUCAUAUAUCUUAUAUCCAUAAAAUUUUCAGAAUUUUUGGUUUGGCCAAUCAAUACCAGAUUUUUCUUAAAGUUUCCCAUGUUUCACUGUUUGACUAAUCUGACCACUCUUCAUUAUGAAUCAAAUUUCUUGUUGUACAGAAUUCAAAAUAUGUUCUCGUUUAUUUCAUUGAAACUAGACUCAUUAAGCUUUAAUUACAUAAUUUAUUCACCUUCUAACUCAUCUCUCACAAUUUAUGGUGAUUUUCCAAAGUCACGUUACUGCUGCUGUCCCAAGCAGAUUUAUUACCAAAUCACUCUUUCACACAUAACUUGCAUGCAUGUUAUUUAAACAUGUAUAUCACCAAUCAAUCAUCACAUAUCUAUGAGUUUACUUAAGUAUAGUCUCCAUUUCAUCAUUUUAAAGCACAACAUGUUAGCCGAUUUUUCCCCUUAGCAUCUAAGGCACAUGCAUGCUCAUUUGUUUGGCUCAACUUCACCUAUCUUCCAUUUUUCAUCAAAAGAACAUGAAACAACAACCAUUUCCUUCAUUUUAAUUCAUGACCAAAUGCUCACAACACAACCAAAAACCAAAAUAUGCUUCAAGAGUUAAGGUAGAAUCAAGAAGAACUCAUGAACAUCAAGAUAGAAGCAAACUACCAUGAACUUACCUUCAAUUUUCUUCCCCAAGUGACCGAACAUUCAAGAGCUUUCUCCUCUCCUUUCUCUUCUCUAACUUUAGGCUAUGAUGAACAAAGAUGGACAAAACUUUGUUCUUUUCACCCUUUUUUCUUUUAAUAAAAUUUCAUAUUUCAUCCAUUUAAUUCUUUAAUACAAAAGACAUGAAAUGCCCGUCAUGGAACAUUUACCUAAACCAUUAUCAUGGAGCAUUUACCUAACCCAUUAUCAUGGAAUAUUUACCUAAUCCAUUAUCAUGGAACAUUUACCUAACCCAUUAUCAAUUUGUACCAUGAAUUAUGGAUAUCAAGUGCUCAUAUUAUCUACAACAACAUGAUGGCUGGCCACUUCAUGUAAAAUGGGAGGUUUGUCAUGCAAAUCCUCCUAUUUUGCACUCCUAUUUAUUUGACCACUUCAAUUUAGCCUAUAGCAUUCUCAAACAUUUUCACAUAGGUUCUAUUUCAUAAUUUCACCCCCUUUUUCUUAUGGAACAAAAAUUAACCAAAAUUGCCGGGUUCUAUCUUAAGUUUGGGCCUUCUAGAGGCCCACUAACAUAAUUAAACCUAUGCCAACAUUCACAGAAUUCCUGAAAAUUGGGGCAUUACAACCACACAUGAACGCAUAUCUAUAUUAAUAUUAGCACCAACUUGACACUUUUAACUAUCCAUUUAGCAAUUGAACCUAUAAAGUCAAUAUACAAUCAUCUAUCACCCUAAUUAUACCACAUUUCAUACUUCCAAAAUGAGCUAACUAUUAAGCCUAUUAUACAUCAUACCUACCAUUUUUCAUUGCCGAAUUAUAUAACCAAACAUCACAAACAUAUAUACCAAGUAACAUACUUCCCAAAAUAAGUUUAAGUCAUAGUCAAAUACACCCAAGCUUUAAUAUUAUAAUCAAGCCAUUUUCGCAUGGCUAUAUAUACACAAAUUCAAAACCAAACAUAUUUAAACUAGCCUAUACAUGCCAUAUGUUUAAAGUUUCAAACUUAAAAAGUACCGAAUGAUAGUCGAUAGUGUGAUGAUUUGCUUGAUGAUCCCUGAGCUCGUAACCAGCUUUCAAAAAUCUAUAAAACAAUGAACAAACACUCACACAAUAAGCUUAAAUAGCUUAGUAAGUCAUAAGCAAAUAAUUCAUUUUAAUGACAUACAUAAUUCAAGUAAACUAGAUAGAACCAAACAAACCUUAACCAAAUGUACAUGUAUCAUGCUUGCAAACUCAAACAUAUCUCAUAAACAUCAACAUUCUAAUAUCAAUGGCCGAAUGUACAUAUACCCAUAAACAUAUAUAAUUCUCACUUUUAUAAUGCAUAUUUCAUAUAUAUAUAUCACAAGUACACACUUCCCUUAUAUUCCCAAUCAUUUAACUUAGCACAUACCUGACCUCUUAACUUGAUUUCAUAUUCAAUCAUUACUCGAUAUUGCCCGUAGAACCAUUCAAAAUUAAUAAGAAUACUCGAAUAAUUGAAAAGCUCGUACAACGCCAACGUCCCAAACGUGGUCUUACAUGUAAUCACAUAUCGAUGUCACUGUCCCAGAUAGGGUCUUACACGUAAAUCACAAAUCGAUGCCAACGUCCCAGACAUGGUCUUACACGAAAUCACAUAUCAGAAUCCUAUGUCAUGACAUAUGUAUCCUAACUAUUCCUAAGGUUCGUACGGGGCUUUCGGACAUCGUAAACCAAACAAUUCCAUCUUGUAUAUAUUUCUCCCAUGCUUAUACAAAUUUGGCUUGAGUAUACAUAUAUACAAGUAAUAAUUCAAUUCGGUACAAAUAAUAUAUAUACAAUCGAAUUUAACGAUAUUUAUUUACUUAUGAACUUACCUCGUACGGAUUCAGACAGAAAUAAACGGCUAUUUAACGAUUUUUGAUUUCCCCCGAUCUAAUCCCAUUUUCUUUGAUUGUUGAUCUAAUCACAUUUAAAUUUGACUUAUUCAAUCUCACAUUCAUUCAAAUUAAUCCAUAAACACAUAUUUAGGGAAUUUUACAAAUUAGCCCUCAAUUUUCACAUUUUGACAUUUAAGUCACUAAUUCACAAAAUCACAAAAUACACAUAGUUUCACAUUUUUCCAUGCUUAGCCAAAUUUUCAUGGAGUUCAUAUAAGCCCAAAUAUUUUCAUAUAAGCCCAAAUAUUUCAUUUAUUUCAUAUUUUGACCCCUCAAUUUACAAAAUUCACAAUUUAAUCCCAAAUAGGUAUUUUUACUAAAAAUCACUUAAUUAAACAUGAAAAUCUAUUAACACAUAUUUAUUUUUCAUCAUCAAACACAAAAAUUAUCAAGCUUUCAACAAUGGCAAAAUACAAAAUCAUCAUCAAAUUCAAAAAUUCAAGCAUGGGCUAACUAGUAUUCAAAGCAACGAUCUCAAAAAUUUAAAAAUCAUCAAAAACCGAGCAAAGAACAUACCUAAAUCAAGUUUCAGCAGUGCCGAAAAUUCAAAGCUCAAGAACCCUAUUCUCUUUUCUAAUUUUCGGUGAGAAGAUGAUGAAUAAUGGCUUUCAUUUCUUUUGUUUUAAUUUUAUUAACUCAUAUUUCUAAUUUACAAAAUUAACCUUGGUUAAACCAUUAUAAAAUCACAUAUAUUAAGUCCAUUACCGUCCACUAACCUUAAUAGUGGCCUAAUUUCAUUUUAAGGACUUUACAAUUAAUAAACCAUAGCAAAUAAGUACUUUAACAAAUAGAAAGUCACUUUUGCAUUUUACGCGAUUAAGUCUUUUUUAUUAAAUCGAGCACACAAACGAUAAAAUUUUCAUACGAAACUUUCACACAUAUCAAUUCACAUACUAUAAACACCAAAUUAAAUUUUAAAAUAUUUUUCUGACUCAAAUUUGUGGUCUCGAAACCAUUAUUCGAAUUUGGUUCUAAAUCGAGCUGUCACACAAAACGUUGACAAUUAUAGAGUUUUAUUGUAUCCUUGAGAUUUAUUUGUUAACAACUCUUUUUUGCACACGAAAAUAAUGGUGGGGUGAAUAGAACCUUAAAGAAAAAAUAACAUUGAUAUACACAUUGAAACCUUCGUUAAUUUCUCAUAAGUUCAUUUUUAUCUCCACACACUAACAUGUAAAUACUUUUAUUACACGUCUGUCCCUAUAUCCUUCACUUGCUCAUCAUGACCGUAUGGACUAUAAAUUAUUUAGAUUAAAUAUUAAUAUAAGUUGUUUUGAGCAUUAUAAGAUGAUCUUUGCGAUGUAAUUUGAUAUUAGUUAAAUCUUAGAUAAUUAAUGAAUUAAUAUUUACUUAUCAUGUAAAAUAAAAUGAGGUUAUAUAUAUAACGAAUAACAUGUAAAUACUUUUAUUAUGAAUAAGAUGGAAAUAAUACUGUAAUUUAUGGUUAAAUUGCUACACUAAACACACAUAAUCUAACACAUACACCAUAUAAAACAAUCUUUAACUCGAUGUAUGGUGUUGAGAUUUCAAACAGAUUACAGUAGGUCUAUUCUUCUAAAUGUUUAAUUAGAUUAUCCUGCUCCUGACACAUUCAUGCGCAAAUAAUAACUACACUUAACAGUGCAUCUACCAUCCCUCGCGUUUUGCCGAAAGAGAGAGAGUCCUCAAUUUCCGGAAUUUUCAAUGGGAAUCAUUCGAAUGGCUUCGACUUUCCGUUAGGUGAAGAGUUGUUGAAGAAGACGUAUUUGCCAACACCUCUUGUUCUCAUCAAUUAAUUCAUGGACCAUGGAAACCGAUAUGUAUCUUGGGUCUGAAAUCUUAAAAUUCUCGAUUUUAGGCCUUGCAUAUUAAUAUGCUCCUCCUAUUUCCAACAUUUUAUCUUCUGCCUUACUUUGUAAUUGAAUUUUCUUGUGAAUUCUAUUUUUCUUGGCGCUGUACACUCGCACUUGAUAAUAUCUGUGAAUUUUUUUUUAUUCCACUGGAUAAUAAUAACUCACAAUUUUGACAACUUUUGAAGUCAUAAAAUACAGGUUAAGCAUAUAUAGAUUGGGUUGACUAUGGUGGUGGAGGAUUCAAAUGUCAAUGAUUUCGUAUCGUCCGUUUCCUUAAACAACCAAAAACAGUCCCCACCGACUCCAUCAACUCUUCACUCAAACAUCAAAUAAUCUUGGGUAUACUUAAUUAAUGUGGGUCUUAAAUAUCGUUGGAACUUGUGGCUGGUGAGGAAAAGACAAGGAAGCAGAUUCAAUGUUGAAAACAUACUGGCUCUCGCAAUCUGAGAGGUGGCAUUACAAUCCUUUAGAUCUAAAUCUGGAGGAAUAAUGAUAUGGCCUUGGUAAGGACAAAAUUUUCCACUCAUUUACAAAUCAACACGUUUUUCUUUUCAUACCUCGUUUCGUUGUAGCUAAUUAUUAAAAGCCAACGACACUAAUGUAUGUUUCGGCCACCGACACAAAAUUAAAACUUCUUUUAUACCAAAUAAGUUGUAGUUUAAGAUAGUUUUAGCUUUAUUAUUGUUGAUAUAAAAAUGUGAUGUGAUUGAAUAAUUGAAUUAAGAGAGAAGAGAUUAUGAGAAGAUCCAAUGAAGCUUAGCUAACAAGGGAGAAGAAAGAGGGUGCCUAAAAAGGUUUGAUGAUGUAUUUGAGGGAAAUAAUUAUCUGUUAUGUGUCUUCUUUCUGUUGGCAGGUUUUUCACUCAAAAUAAAUGCCUCAUUAGAUUAAUUAUAUAAUGGGUUUUUGUCAAAAUGAUUAAAUUCAGAUUCAUUGUUAGAGGUGGAGUCAUUACUAAAUCUCUAAAUAUGUGUAACAAUUAUUUUUGUUAUAUUAAAAUUUUAUUUUUAUUUAUUUAGAAUUUUUCUAACACCGUUUAAAUUUUGUCAUACCCCUCCCCUUCCCUAUAUUAUAACAAUAAAAAUUAUUUCAUAUCAAUACUAAUAUUAAUAUUCUUUAAAAUUUAAAAUUUUAUCAUUUUAAAUUUAAUUUAAACCGAAUCAAUUAUUAAAAAUAUGCCUUUUGGCAAAAACCUAUUUGUCAAAGCACUUCAUCUUUACUGAGCUCUGUCAAUAAUGGAAUAAAUUUUAGUUAAAUAUUCACUUGUAUAUUUGCUUAUCCUUGUUUAAUUUUUCAACAAGAUUGAAGCGGGGAAAGACUAUUUUAGUAAAAAAUACCCAUUUUUACUUUAUUUAUGGAAAUGGAUAACUUUAAACUUUAUUUAUCACAAUGGGCAAAAAAAUUAAAAACGCGUCCACAUAGGUGUGUUUUAAGGGAAAAUUUCAGAAAAGCAUAUUUUUGGGAAAGCGCUUUAGCCAUGUCAGCAUAAAACACGCUGACGUGGAUGCGCUUUGCUGACAUGGAAAAAGUGCUCCCCCAAGGAUGCGCUUUAGCCCAUGUUUUUUCUAGGGUGGGUUAUUUGCAUGUUUAGGGCUUAGGGUUUAGGGUUUUAAGAUUUUAAGGUUAGGGUUUUUGCUAAAAUAAAUUAAGGUUUUAUAUGUUUAGGAUUUAAGGUUUUGGAGAAAAUAAAUUAGGGUUUAUGAUGUUUUAAAAAAUAAAUUAAAUUAGGAUUUAUUGUUUAUAAAAAAUAAAUUAGGGUAAAGGGAUUUUUAAAAAUAAAUUUGUUUUUAUGGUUUUAAGGUUUUUAUAAUAGUUUUAGGAAUGAGUUCUGAAAAAAUUAUUUUAACGAUAUUGAUUUUGUUUUUUUUUUGUUUAGUCGACAAAAGUACUGAAAAAAGCUCCCAAAUGGACGUUAUUUUUUUACAGUAGUUUCUGAAAAAAUAAUUUUAAAAAGAUGGUUAUAAAAAAAUAAGGUAAAAAAUGCUUCAAGCAGUCGUCGCUUGAGGCGUGGGCGUUGUUGAUAGGCCUGCCCCGUCAGCCAUUCUCAUUGGAUUUAAAGGGCCCUGUCAUUUCCUUUCGACACAGAUUUGUCAAUGCCUCUGCUCUUUGGAGAGCAAAUAUGGCUUGCCAUGGAUCCUAAACCAUGGCAUGUAAUCCGGCUCGCACGCUAACUCUGGAACGAUGAUUGGUUCGCGAGUAGGUAUAUGAUCAUACCGAUUUUCCCACAUUUUGGUAUAAUCCGAGAAGAAGAUCGGCCAAUUCGUAUUUGGUCGUCAUAAGUCAAUUUUGCGGUCUUCAUUGAGUACCUCAAGUGCCACAGGAAUCAAUUUUCGAAAUCUAAAUUGUCGCAACACUUUAUCUGUAUGGUGCAUCUCGACAGUGGCGUAGUUGAGCAAUGUGAACCUAACAUGCCAUAUGUUCGGAUUCUAUAGGAAUUCAUCUGAAAUUAUUGCCCGAAUUGCUAGAUCCUUGUAUGGUGUCCAUUGAAACUAUAUGAAUGUGAUAAAAAUAUUAGUUAUAUACAUAAUACUAAAUACUAAAUACGAAAUGACUAUGUUAUUUAUAUAUAUUUUAUUUAUAUAUAUACUUACAUGCACUUCCGACCGUUGGUCUAAUAGAAGUCGUAUAUAUUCAAGAGCGGUAGGUAUUCCAACAUAACUCGCUGAAUGGUUCUAUCCAAUUAAAUAAAAUUUUAGCAUAAAAUUUUAUUUUAAAUCUAUGUAAUAAUUGUAAAAUCUAAUAUAAAUUUUACCUCCUUAAGAGUGGGAAUGUAUACGGGUGAUUUACUCGAGGAUGUAAAAAUGGAAAGCGAAACUAAAAUGGAAAGCGAAACUAAGCCCAUGAUUGUAGCAGUGAUAGGCAACCUUAGAUUUUGGCUUUACUUGGUUACGUCGCCCGACAUCAUCUCCUAGUACAAUGUUGACAACGUAGAAGACCCCAACAGAAUUUGCUAGCUAUUCUAAAAUCGACGAGUUUUGUAAUAUCCCUAACCUAUAUCCGUCGCCGAACUAAGGUUAUGAGGCAUUCUCGGACAUAUCAGAACAUUUUAUGAUCAAUUCACAAACAUCAUCCACACAUCAUAGCAUCAUAGUCAAAUAUCAACACAGAAUCUCUUUCUUAGGUCAACGAGACCUUAAACAUGCUUCAGGAAGGGGUCGGGAUUAAACCGAGUACAUACAAAUUUUUUGAAACUAAACAAUUUUUCUAAGUUACAAAGGUCAUACGCCCGUGUAAACAGGCCGUGUGCCUCACACGGCAUUAGACACGUCCGUGUGUCUAGGCCAUGGCAAAACAGGGCAUACAUACUGACUUCACCACACGGCCACAAGACACACCCGUGUGCCAGGCCGUGUGAAUUAGGGAGGUUAUUGACUUGGGUCACACAGCCGACGACACGCCCAUGUGCCAGCCCGUGUACCACACACGACCAAUAGACACGCCCGUGUGUCUAGGCCGUGUCAAAACUGUAGGGUAUACUGACUUUACAUCAUAGGGUACCCUAGGGGACACAUGGCCAUGUAACGUUACCGUGUGUCACACACGCCCGUGUGGACAAAAAUAGGCCAUUUGAAAAGCCAAAUUACCACCCAUUUUGGGUCAUCCCUACAAGCAUAAAACCAAUCACAUUUCAUGUCCCAAAGGCAGCCAAAAACAUACUAAAUCAUGCACAAAUUGAUCCACGAUAUCAUUAUUCAUUUCCAUAUACAAAUCCAACUCAAACAUAACUAUUCAAAGUACUAACUUUAUAUCAAAAACAUAUGAUUCAUGCAUCAUAUUAAUCCAUUUCAAUUCAUAGCAUUCCACAUCGUUUCAACUUCCCAAAUCAAUCAUGAAACUUACCAAAAUUGACUAUUUCAUUUGGCCAUUCAAGAGCACAUCAAAACAUACCCAUUUUGAACACAAAGCAUAUACCAAAAUUCAUUCAUAAUCUCAUCCAUAACCAAGCCAUAUCACAUGGCUAGAUAUACACAUCUCAAAACAUAUCCAAAGUUCUCUAGCUUAUACAUAUCCAAAGUUCUCUAGCUUAUACAUGCCAUGCAUUUUGGUCAUUUGUCAUUUUAAUGAAUUAAAAUGGGAAAAAUCAAGCCAAAAUCAGCCAUUUUUCUCCUUCAUCCAGCUGAAAAUUUGGGGUUCUCCAUAGCUAGGUUUCAAGCUUUCCAAGUUUAAUAACCCCGAGGAACAAAUUCUGGAGGUCGAUCGUGGUAAACGCAAGGUUUCAGAAUAACUGAAACGUAGCUCCGAAAAGAAUACCAGAGCUUGAGGACUUAUAAGGAUUGGAAGAUGGUUGGAGAAGCAACACACUAUCAACUAGUCAAGCUUUGGUAUAAAGACACUUCUAUUUUGUUAAUGGCAUGUAUAGGGCUUUGAGUAUUUUGUCAUAUGUGUCAUUUGAAUUGCCAAAUGAAGGCAUGUAAAGAUGUAUUCAUCUUUUUGUAUAAGGCCAUGGAAAUUGACAUAUUUGGAAGUAGGCUAUGACCUGCCUUUAUAUGCAUGUUUAUGUUCUUAUAUGAUAGGUUGCUACAAUUGGCAAUAAGUUCAAAAACGAGCCAAAUUUUGAAUGUACUACAAUAACAUAAGAACCUAUAAAUACAAGAUGGGAAAUAACCUUUUUGUAUGAAACCAAUGAUAUGAGCUUUCUAUACAACUAACUUCAUCAAGAUCAUUUACAAGUGUAUAAUCAUGUUUUACUUUGAAUUUGGUAUCUAUUAAGAAAAAGAAGUAGAAAGGGGUGACUAAAGGCUUGGAAAAUAGCCUAUUAAGGUCCACAUGGUUAGACACACGGGCGAGUGUCUAGGCCGUGUGUGACACAUGACCCAUCCCUAUGGGCGUGUGGCAUGGCCGUGUGUCUCCUGCACCUAAAACUUUAAGUUAAAUUAGCACAUGAGUAGGACACACGGGCAUGUGUCUACGCCGUGUUAAUUUAACAAAAUGCUCAAGUUUUGGACAUGGGGUGAGCCCACGGGCGUGUGUUUUGGCCAUGCCUAAAGGUCAGUGUUGCCCAUGGGUUAAAGGCGUGGACGUGCCCUAGGCCACACAGGCGUGGGUGACCACACGGCCCCUCAUACAUGGGCGUGUGACACUUCUAAAUAAGGAAAUUUUCUAAAGUUAUUAAAUGUUCCAGUCCUAUCUCGAACUAUCUCUAUGUAUAUUUAGAGCCUUGAAGGCCCAUUUAAGGGAUAAGAUGUGAAUGCCUGAAAGUUUCAGAUCAGAGCUAAACCUGGUGAGUUGAUUCAGUAUGUUUUAAAUGUAAAAUUUCGGUAAUACCUCGAACCCUAUCCUGAUAAAUGAUAUGGUAAGGGGUGUUACAUUUAUUGGUAUCAGAGCUACGGUUUAGUCGGUUCUAGGACUACCGUAGAGGAUGUUAAAGUUUGCUAUACAUGCCAUGAUUCGAAUGUUGAUAGUGUGACAUCUCCUAAUUGUUUAAACUAUUUUGAAUAUAGUGAAUGUCUUCCAAUCAAGCACAAGAUGAGUCCAAGGGAGCCGAGAGCCAUGCUCCAGCUUUCGUACAACAAGCUAUAUCUAGUAGUAGUAGAAGGCUGAUGUCAGAAGGCCGAGAAGAGGCCCGAGCUACCUUCUUUGAUAUGAUGGAUGAAUGGUUUGGGGAUUAUCUAAGAAAUCACCCCAAUAUAACAAGACCUCCCCCGCCCCCUACCCAAGCUGAUGAAGAUGGGCCACGAGGUAUGGCACCGGUGAGAAUCGGUAAAGCCCCUAUAGAUGAACUUAGAAAGUAUGGGGCCGAGGAAUUUAGAGCGAAAGUUGAUGAUGACGCUGAAAGAGCCGAGUUCUGGCUCGAAAGUACUACGCGAGUGCUAAACGAUUUGUCAUGCACACCCGAGGAAUGUUUGAAGUGUGCUGUGUCUCUUUUGAAGGAAACUGUAUACAAUUAGUGGAAGACCAUAUCCUCAGUAGUGCCGAAAGAAAAUAUUACUUAGGAUUUCUUCCAAGUAGAGUUUAGGAAGAAAUACGUUAGUCAACGGUUUUUGGACUCGAAGCGAAAAGAGUUCCUAGAACUAAAACAAGGGAACAAGACUGUAGCAGAAUACGAGAGAGAGUUCGUACGACUAAGUCAGUAUGCAACUGAAUGGGUCCAAACGGAAUCUGAAAUGCGUAAACGCUUCGAGGAGGGUCUGAAUGUGGACAUCAAGUUGUUGAUUAGGAUCUUAGAAAUACAAGAGUUUGCCGCAUUGGCUGAUCAAGCCAAAAAGGCCGAGGAGCUUAAUAAUGAAGGAAAACAAGCUAAGAGAGAGGCUCGAGUUGCGAGCAAAAGGUAUAGCAGUAAAACACUCUCAUUUUCCACGAAGAAGGCCAGGAGCCUGCAUGAACGCUCCACUUCGUCAGUGGGAUAUUCGGGUAGAUCGAGAAGCUCUAAACGACGAUGUCAAAAGUCUUCCUCCCCGAUGGUGACUAGUGUGGGGAGUGUAGAUGAUCAAAAACUGAAGUGUAAGAGCUGUAACAAAUUUCACUUCGAAGAGUGCCAAAUGAAGAGCAGUGCGUGUUUCAAAUAUGGUUCCCUUGAUCACUUUCUCAGAGACUGCCAGGAAAGACCUGAAAAAGAUGAGGAAAUAGCUCCGAAGUUGGGUGCUCCCAUUCUACGAGGUAGACCUUCGAGAUACGUAGGAGUGCUAGUGGCAAUUGAGUCGUGACUAAAGACUUUACAAAAUCAGAGGUUCGAGCCUAGUCAAGAACAUAUGCGAUACGUGCUCGAGAGGAGGCCGCUGCACCUGAUGUUAUUUCGGGUACUUUCUCUCUUUUUGAUACAAGUGUUGUUGCUUUAAUUGACCCGGGGUCAACGCAUUCAUAUAUCUGCAUGAGAUUGGUGUCUAAUAUGAACAUUCCCAUUGAACUUAUGAAAUUUAUCAUUAGAGUGUCGAACCCAUUUGGCAAAUCAGUUCUGGUUGAUAAAGUCUGUAAGAAUUGUCCUUUGUCGAUUCAUGGUUAUUGUUUCUCGGCUUACCUUAUGUUGCUACCAUUUGACGAGUUCGAUGUGAUACUGGGCAUGGAUUGGUUAGCCUUACAUGAUGUAAUUGUAAAUUGUGGGAGUAAGUAUAUUAAAUUGAAAUGCCCGGAUGGUAAGAUUAUACGGGUCGAAUCAAGAAAAUUGGGUUCGUCACCGGUUAUAAUCACGAUAAUGGUUGUCCAGAGAUAUAUGAGGAAAGGAUACAGAUCUUACCUUACAUUUGUGUUGAACACUAAGGAAACUAAAUUGAAGAUUGAAUCUGUGCCAAUAGUAUAUGAGUAUUCAGAUGUGUUUCAGGAGGAAUUACCCAGAUUGCCUCCUGAAAGGGAGUUAGAGUUUGGUAUUGAAUUAGUGCCAGGGAUGACUCCCAUUUCUAUUACCCCGUAUAGAAUGGAACCUACCGAGCUGAAGGAGUUAAAAUCAUAGUUACAAGAGCUGACGGAUAAAGGAUUUUCUAGGCCAAGUUUUUCACCUUGGGGUGCCCCCAUGUUGUUCGUAAAGAAGAAAGAUGGUUCGAUGAGGUUAUGUAUCGAAUAUCAGCAACUGAACAAGGUGACUAUCAAGAAUAAGUAUCCUUUGCCAAGGAUCGAUGAUUUGUUUAACCAAUAGAGAGGAGCCACCAUAUUCUCCAAGAUAGACUUGAGGUCUGGCUAUUAUCAGCUGUGAGUUAAAGACUCGGAUGUACGCAAGACAGCUUUCAGAAUGAGGUAUGGCCAUUAUGAAUUUCUUGUCAUGCCGUUUGGGCUGACGAAUGCACCGGCUGUGUUUAUGGAUCUAAUGAAUAGGAUCUUUCGACCAUAUUUAGAUAAGUUUUUUGUUGUGUUUAUUAACGACAUUUUGAUCUACUCUAAAGAUGAGAUAGAGCAUGCGAAGCAUCUGAGAAUUGUGUUGCAGACUUGUGGCAAGAGCAACUAUAUGCUAAGUUUAGCAAGAGUGACUUUUGGCCCCAGGAAGUUGGAUUUUUGGGUCAUAUAGUUUCGAGUGAAGGCAUCCGAGUUGAUCCAAGUAAGAUUUCUACAAUUGUCGAAUGGAAAUCGCCUAAGAAUGUAAUCGAGGUUAGAAGCUUUUUGGGAUUAGCCGGUUACUAUUGAAGAUUUGUAAAAGGAUUUUCCAUGAUAGCGGCUCCGAUGAUAAAGCUGCUACAGAAAGAUGUUAAGUUUGAAUGGACGGAGAAGUGUCAGCAAAGUUUUGAAAAGUUAAAGACAUUGCUGAUCGAAGCUCUUAUUUUAGUGUUACUUGAACCGGGAAAAGAAUUUGUGGUCUACAGUGAUGCAUCUUUGAACGGACUGGGUUGUGUACUUAUGCAAGAUGGCAAGGUGAUAGCCUAUGCUUCACGGCAAUUGAAGCCCCAAGAGAAGAAUUAUCCAACCCACAACCUAGAGCUAGCUGCUAUUGUUUUUUCCUUUAAAAUUUAGAGGCAUUAUUUGUAUGGCGAGACUUGCCGUAUUUUCACGGACUACAAGAGUUUGAAAUACUUGAUGACUCAGAAAGAAUUAAAUUUGAGACAAAUGAGAUGGUUAGAAUUAAUUAAGGAGUAUGAUCUGAUUAUAAACUAUCACCCAGGAAAGGCAAAUGUAGUCGCUGAUGCAUUGAGUAGGAAAUCCCUGUAUGCUUUGAGAGCUGUGGAUGCUCGUUUGACAUUACUUGGUGAUGGUUCAGUUUUCACCGAGCUGGAGGCUAGGCCAACAUUUCUGCAGGAAAUUCAUGAUGCUCAUCUUAAUGAUGAUGACUUGUAGGCAAAAACGGCUCAAUGUGGGUCUGGUGUUGAGUCAGAUUUCUAAAUUAGUCCUGAUGGAUGUUUAAUGGUUAGAGAUAGGGUUUGUGUACCCCAAAAAAAUGAACUUAUUCGAAAGAUUUUACAAGAAGCACAUAACAGUCGUUUGUCUAUUCACCCCAGAAGUACCAAGAUGUACAAUGAUUUAAAGAAGAUGUACUAGUGGAACGGCAUGAAAAGAGAUGUUUCUGAAUUUGUAUCGAAAUGCUUGGUAUGUUAGCAAGUUAAAGCUGAACAUCAAGUGCCUUUAGGUUUGUUAUAGCCUGUAAUGGUCCCCGAAUGGAAAUGGGAUAGAGUUACUAUAGAUUUUGUGACAGGAUUAUCGUUAAAUCCGAAAAAGAAAGAUGCCAUAUGGGUUGUAGUGGAUAAGUUGACGAAGUCAACUCAUUUAUCCCCGUAAGGAUGGAUUAUUCCCUUGAUAGAUUGGCUGAUUUGUACAUUUCUGAGAUAGUAAGAUUGCAUGGAGUACCACUGUCGAUUAUUUCAGAUAGAGACCCGAGGUUCACUUCGAGAUUCUGGAAGAAGUUACAAGAAGCCUUGGGUGCAAAGCUGAGUUUUAGUAUAGCUUUUCACCCUCAGACCGAUGGUCAGUCUGAGCGAAUGAUUCAGAUUCUCAAAGACAUGUUGCGUUGUUGUAUCCUCGAAUUUCAGGGUCGUUGGGAAAAACAUUUGCUGUUGGUAGAAUUUGCCUACAACAACAGUUUUCAAACAAGUUUGAAAAUGGCACUUUAUGAGGCCCUGUAUGGUAGGAAGUGUCAAACUCCAUUGUACUGGAUAGAACUCAAGGAAAAUCAGAUUCAUGGAGUUGAUAUGAUCAAAGAAACUGAAGAAAAAGUUAAAGCGAUACGAGAUUGUUUAAAAGCGGCAUCAGAUAGGCAAAAGUCUUACGCUGAUCUGAAAAGAAAUGAAAUUGAGUUUCAAGUUGGAGACAGAGUAUUCUUGAAAGUAUCUCCAUGGAAAAAGGUAUUGAGAUUUGGUCGGAAAGGUAAACUGAGUCCACGAUUUAUCGGGCCGUACGAGAUUACCGAAAGAGUUGAACCACUAGCCUAUCAUUUGGCAUUGCCACCCAAACUGGAAAAAAUUCAUGACGUGUUCCAUGUAUCCAUGUUAAGGAGAUACCGGUUAGACCCCUCUUAUGUGAUUUCGCCAACUGAAAUUGAAAUUCGACCGGACAUGACUUAUGGAGAGAAACCGGUUAAGAUAUUGGCUCGUGAAGUUAAACAGUUGAGAAAUAAAGAUGUGACUCUUGUAAAAGUUUUAUGGCAUUAGCAUGGUGUAGAAGAGGCCACAUGGGAGCUGGAAGAAACCAUGAGAAGUCAAUAUCUGAAUCUAUUUUCUGGUAAGACUUUCGAGGACGAAAGUCCCUAAGAAGGGAGAAAUAUAACAUCCCGAAAGAGGGCCUAGUCAGAAUAGUAGUUUUGGGACCACAAAUCUGACAUCAAAAUAUUUAUUUUAUGAUUAUUAUGAGGCCUAGAAUAUGAGUAUAUGCAUGUGUUAAAGUUUUAUGAAGAAAUUCUAAGUAUAAGGUGUCCAAUUGGAAAUUAGGGACUAAAUUGAAUAAAUUGCAAAACUUGGAUUCUAGAAGCCAUUUGUAUGAAAUUGCUUUAGGUUAUGAAUUAGAAGGUCUUGGAGAGAAAUUUUCCCAAAUUCUAAAUUUUUGGACAAAAAUAGGCUUGCAUGGAUGAAAUUUUAAAGAAAUGGCAUAAGGGCAUUUUGGUCAUUUGUCAUUUUAAUGAAUUAAAAUGGGAAAAAUCAAGCCAAAAUCAGCCAUUUUUCUCCUUCAUCCAGUCGAAAAUUUGGGGUUCACCAUACCUAGGGUUUCCAGCUUUCCAAGCUCAAUAACCCCGAGGAACAAAUUCUGGAGGUCGAUCAUGGUAAAUGCAAGGUUUCAGAAUAACUGAAACGCAGCUCCAAAAAGAAUACCAGAGCUCGAGGACUCAUAAGGAUUGGAAGACAGUUGGAGAAGCAACACACUAUCAACUAGUCAAGCUUUGGUAUAAAGACACUUCUAUUUUGUUAAUGGCAUGUAUAGGGCUUUGAGUAUUUUGUCAUAUGUGUCAUUUGAAUUGCCAAACGAAGGCAUGUAAAGAUGUAUUCAUCUUUUUGUAUAAUGCCAUGGAAAUUGACAUAUUUAGAAGUCGGCUAUGACUUUCAUUUAUAUGCAUGUUUAUGUUCUUAUAUGAUGGGUUGCUACAAUUGGCAAUGAGUUCAAAAACGAGCCAAAUUUUGAAUCUGCUAUAAUAACAUAAGAACCCAUAAAUACUAGAUGGGAAAUAACCUUUUUGUAUGAAACCAAUGAUAUGAGGUCUCCAUACAACGAACUUCAUCAAGAUCAUUUACAAGUGUAUAAUCAUGUUUUACUUUGAAUUUGAUAUCUAUUAAGAAAAAGAAGCAGAAAUGGGUGACUAAAGGCUUGGAAAAUAGCCUAUUAAGGUCCACAUGGUUAGACACAUGAGCGUGUGUCUAUCCCCAUGGGCGUGUGGUAUGGCCGUGUGUCCCCUAAACCUAAAACUUUAAGUCAAAUUAGAACACGAGUAGGACACACGGGCAUGGGCCGUUUUAAUUUAACAAAAUGCUCAAGUUUUGGACACGAGGUGAGCCUACGGGCGUGUGUCUUAGCUGCGCCUAAAAGUCAGUGUUGCCCACGGGUUAAAGGCAUGGAUUUGCCCUAGGCCACACGGGCUUUUGUGACCACAUGGCCCCUCAUACACGGGCGUGUGACACUUCUAAAAAAGGAAAUUUUCUAAAGUUAUUAAAUGUUCCCGGUCCUAUCCCGAACUAUCUCUAUGUAUAUGUAGGGCCUUGAAGGCCCAUUUAAGGGAGAAGAUGUGAAUGCCUGAAAGUUUCAGAUCUGAGCUAAACCUGGUGAGUCGAUUCAGUAUGUUUUAAAUGUAAAGUUCUGGUAAUACCUCGAACCCUAUCCUGAUAAUGGAUACGAGUUAGGGGUGUUACAAUUAGCUUUGUCUAACGAUGAUUUGAUAGUAGCUGAAUUGAAAGCGAGAUCGUUAUUUCUACGGGUUCAAUGUGAGUCGAUUUCUAAUUUCAAGUUUCAAAUGGGGCAUUAUGACUGUUUGAUGUUUCGUGAUAGAAUAUGUGUACCAAGAAAUUCUGAGCUCGUUAGGAAGAUUUUAAACGAAGCACACAGUAGUUGUUUAUCAACACAUCCAGGAAGCACGAAAAUGUAUAACAACUUGAAACAGUUUAGUUGGUGGCAUAGUGUGAAACGAGAUAUCUCAUAAUUUGUUUCGAAAUGUUUGAUUUGUCAGCAAGUCAAGGAUGAGCAUGAAGUGCCGUCAGGUUUAUUAUAGCCUAUUAUGAUUCCUGAGUGGAAGUGGGAUAGAGUAACAAUGGAUUUUGUAUCAGGUUUACCCUUAUCUCCGAGAAAGAAAGAUGUGAUUUGGUCGUUGUUGACAGAUUGACGAAAUCGACUCAUUUCAUUUUGGUACGUACGGAUUACUCACUUGAUAAACUGGCGGAGUGGUAUAUCUCAGAGAUUGUUUGAUUGCACGGAGUGCCACUAUCUAUUCUUUCAGAUAGGGAUCUAAGAUUCACUUCGCGAUUUUGGAAGAAAUUGCAGGAAGCUUUAAGUACAAAGUUGCAUGUUAGCACUACUUUUCAUCCUCAAACGGAUGGUCAAUCUAAGCGAGUUAUUCAGAUACUUGGGGAUAUGAUGCAAUGUUGCAUUCUUAAGUUGGAAGGUAGCUGGGAGAAAUAUUUACCGCUUAUUGAAUUUUCUUACAAUAAUAGCUUUCAAUCGAGUAUUAAGAUGGCACCGUACGAAGCUCUUUACGGUUGUUAAUGUCAAACACCAUUGUACUGGAGUGAGCUCGGCAAAAAUAAGAUUUACAGGGUUGAUUUGAUCAAAGAGACUGAAGAAAAAGUAAAAGUAAUUCGUGAUAGUUUGAAAACAGCUUUGGAUCGACAGAAUUUGUACACAGACUUGAAAUGGAAAGAUAUUGAGUUUCAGGUCGGGGAUAAAGUGUUUUUGAAAGUGUCACUGUGGAAAAAGAUAUUACUGUUUGAUCGGAAGGGGAAAUUGAGUCGCAAUUCAUCAGACCAUAUGAAAUUAUCAAGCGAAUUGAGCCAGUGGCAUAUCGGUUGGUAUUAUCAUCUGAGUUAGAGAAAAUACAUAAUGUGUUUCAUGUAGCGAUACUUAAACGAUACCGAUCUGAGCCUUCACAUGUCAUUUCCCCGACCGAGGUUGAAAUUCAACUAGAUAUGUCAUAUGUUGAAGAACCGAUUCAAAUUUUAGCUCGUGAGAUCAAAGAGGUGAGAAAUAAGAGAAUCACAUUAGUGAAAGUAUUAUGGUAUCGACAUGGGGUUGAAGAAGCUAUGUGGAAACUCGAGGAUGCUAUGAGAAAAUAAUAUCCAAACCUAUUCACUAGUAAGAUUUUCAGGGACGAAAAUUCCUAAGGGGAGAGAGUUGCAAUAGCCUGAUUUUAGCUAAAUUAGAACAGUGGUUUCGGAACAACAAAUCUGAGGUCAUAAAAUGAUUUUAAUAUUAUUUUUGGUGUUUUCAGCAUGAUAUUUAAUAUGUGUGAAAAUUUCGUGAAUUAAUUUUAUCGUUUAAUUAGUCAAUUUGAGAAAAAUAACUAAAUCGCGUAAAAUGCAAAAGUUGCAUGUUAUUAGUUAAAGGUGUCUGUAAUAUCCUGAUUUUCGGGUUUUUUCGUGAUUCUCGAGUUUUUGAUAAAAUUUAUAAGAUUAGGUAUGUGGUUGUGAAAUUCAUAAUUGGAGUGUGUAAAUGGGCUUAUGGAAGGCCCAUGCAAUGGCCAAAACCCGGUAGAAUUUUUGAAUUUUGGACUUAAGUAGUUAGGGGCUUUGGAUAGGUGGCUUAAUUAAAACUUGUGGGUAAAAUGUAUCACAAAAGAGCCUUUGGUAGAGUGGCUAAGUGACGCCACUAGGGCGCUAAAAAGGUGGCGUGUAAGUGGUUGGAGGAAACCUGGGUUCGAUCCCCUGUGAUGGCAAAAGUGAUGUUAUUUUUAUGCUUUGAGCAGGCAGGAGUUGUAGCUGAAUGGAACUCUAUAGGAAAGAGUUUGAAUCAGUCAAACGCAUGGAUUAACGAGGGAUAAGGGGAGAGAUUUUAAGGAUUUUAGAGGGAGAUAGAGUUAGCAGAAUAAAGGGGAUUAGAGAGGGGAUUUCGGCAGAGGGGUAUUAGGUUAGUAUUUUGGGCAUUAGGGACUUAGGGUGUGCCGUUUUCUUCUUUAGGAUUGGUCUUGUCUUUUUCUUUCUUCUUCUCUAGCCGAACCUACCACCCUUCCAUUCAUCAUUCCUUCCUUUCUUUUCUUUUUCCAAAACCAGCGCACUACUCCCUUCCGUUCAUCUAUUACUUCUUUUCUUACCUCCACAUCUGCCGAAAAGCUGCAAAAGCCGAACUUGUGAAGCUUGGUGGUGCCGAUUCUUUAUUGACCAGCAACCUUUUUUUUCCCUUCACAUUUUGGUAGCCAAUCCCUUUAUAUUCUAGGCAUUAAACUGUUCAAGGAGGGAGACUGUGGUAAGUGUUCGUACUCUAAGUCAAUUCAGUAGUAACUGUUGACAAAAGCCGAAACCCCUAUAGUUGAGGGUGGUUGCCGAUUUGUGAUGUAGGACUUAUUGGGUUUUUGCAAUUGAUUUUUAUGGUUUAUAUAGUGGAGUAGAUACGUUGGAGGAGCAGCAAGGCGAGGGUUAUCAAUUUGGAUGAGCUUGGAUCAUCGGAGUGACUAAAUCUAGAUCUAGUCAUCAAUUUCGUCAAAGGUAGGAACCCUAGGGCCAUUGUGGAUGGUGGCCGAAUAUGUAAGAGAUGAUAAUAUAUAGUUUUCGAUUUGGUUUAAAUGUUAUCACGAUCUAAUCUAUAAGCGGUUGAUUAUAGGAGAAAUCGCGUAGGAGAUCUCGUCAAGGAAUGUUGCAAAUCAGGUGUGUAACGAACCCUCUUUCGUAGCUUAACUCGAUAUAUGCUGAAAAGCCGAAAUGCAAAAAAUUCGGCAUUUCGAGGACUUGUGAGCAUGCGAAAGCUCAUAGGUUGGUUAGAUACGCUAAGUUUGAUUAUCGGGAUCAUUGGAACAAGUAAGGGCACGAUUUUCUGCAUCACGGUAAGUUGGGCCUCGAGGGGCUAAAAUCGGGCCCAAUGGGCUUCCGGGCCCAUUUGGUUAAAUUUGGUAGAAAAUGGAAUCAUGUUAAAUUGCGCGUUAAGACUGUUAAUACCGCUAUGAAAUAUAGGUUAAAUGUGCUUAGAUGACUAAAUCGACUAUAUAGAGCCCAUUAGGGGUUUGGGGCCCAAAAGGCUCGAAUUUGAUAAAGUGCAUUAAAAUCAUUGUUUAAACACUUGAAGUUAGUGAUAAUUGUUAAUGAACAUGGGAACCUUGAUAUUUUGGUAAAAUUACGAAGAUACCCUUAUAAUAUGAAAAUGACUAUUUUACCCCUAGGGUUUAAUUAUGAGUUUGAUGCAUGAGAUUUUGAUAUACAUGAUUUGAUAUGAUAUGCACAUGAUGUAUUCAUUUAUGCAUGGGUUAGGUUUUUAUAUGAAUGAAGGAAGUGCAAAAGGGCUUUGCCCCAGUUUACCGAAAAGGGCUUUGCCCCAAUUUACCGAAAAGGGCUUUGCCCCAGUUAUUAAAAGAGGCUAGGCCUCCAGAUAUAUGAUAAAGCAGCUAUGCUACCAGUGGAGAGUUUGGUUGGGUG
rnacentral:lncRNA from 1 species